rnacentral:lncRNA from 1 species
CAAAGACAGGUCCUGGCUCGAAUUCUAGCAUGAUAGGAGGAAUCCUCUGCAGCCCUCAUACUGAUGGACAAGUAUGGAUAGGUUAUAAAAAGAACUGAAAUCAAGCUUUAAAAGCACCAAACAGGAGGUAUAGAUCUCCCUGACGAUCUUGGCAGCAAUGGAGCAAAAAUGUCUUACCUAGCAGCUCAAUGUGCAAAUCUGAAUCAUACAUGCAUAGACAUGCCCCUAAAAAGGCAACCACCUAGUAUAUACUCCAAAAGCAAUAUGUAUACUGAAUAUAUUAUAUAUUUAUGAUACUGGUACAUGCUAUACAAAUGAGUGUAUACUGCUCAUCCAACUAUAUAAAAUCAAAUUUAUAAAUAUCACAAAAAAUCCAAACUACCAUUAUCUAUUCUCGAGUUUCUAUAAAAAAAUAUUUUAAUUGUUAUAAAUCAAUUUUGCUAAAAACAAAAAUUUUCUCGUAAAAGCAUUUAAAUAAAAUAUACAAAUAUAAUACAAUUGAAAACAACACUGUUAUAAGCUUAUCCAUUCAUCUUGUAUACAGGACUCGAAUUUACUAUACGGAACUCAAGUCGCUAACUUUUUCUCAAACUAAUAUUCAUAUACUUAAUCCUAUAAGUUAUAUAGAAAUGAAAUUAGAAAUAAAUUUAAAAUUCUCUUUUCUAAUAAUUCUUACCUAAUAUCUAGCGUCAAACCCGAUUUAUAACAAUUCUAUUAAUUCUCUAAUUAUUUAAACUAAUUAAGGCUACUGAAAUUUUAACAGCAUCUCCUAUGUAAAUCGGAUUAAUUUUCACCGUAAAAUGGAUCCAAAACCUCCAAGCAAUCACAACUCACAAAAUACUCGUCCAGAGCCACAAAUUAUUCAUUUGAAAAGUCCAAUUAAACGUCCGUUUAAACUCCAGCAAAAAUAAUUACUUAUUUUUUUAUUAAUUACCUCGAGAUGAUUUAAUAACUAAUGCUAAUAAUAAGUACUCUUACUAAUUCAUUUAUCCUUUACAACAAUUGUUCAUAAUUCUGACUAUUAUAACUACCUCUAAUUUUAAAAUCCAAUUCAAUUCACCAUAUCUAUCAUAGGAAUAAUAUCAAUAUAAUUCUCCUUAUUUCCCUUUACAUUAACAAAUCUUUAAUUUAUUUAUAAAAAUAAUUAAUUUUUCACAUUAUCAAAAAUAAUCUAUAUAUUAUCAAAAUUUCUAUUUACUAAUAAUAUAUUUAAUCUACUAAGUUAAUUAAUAACCUAAAAUUAGACAAGCAAAAGAAAUUUAUCUCCACACACGUAACGCCUAUCGACUCAUUACCGGUCGUUGAUGUCUGUUCGAAGAUCCGAAGACACCAUCAAACUCGUCUCAAUGUAUAAAUCAUGGAUUAACUAUUAUUUUUUCCUAAAGAAUCGAUAAUUGACCAAAAAAAUAAAAAAUGCUCUUGACCAUCUGAUCAUAAACAGUGUCUGAUCGAGGUGAAACCAAUGACAUCUGAAAGGUCGUUUUCUAAGGAGUUCAUUUGUGUAUUUUAAUUUCUUAAUAAUCUAAACACUCUCCACAUCACAUGAUGAUGAACCUGAAAAUGGGAUUUGCAAAGGUCUAAUUCACUCUUCCACUGCUGUAAACGGAGCCAAAACAACAAGCAUAAAAACAAUAAUUAAGAAAUCGAGCCAUGAAAAAGAUUCAAGAAGAGUUUAUUUUAGCCAUCUAAAUAAUGUUUUAAGAUAAAUAUUGAAUUUUAAUGGAGAUUUUUAUUUUUCAGGCCAUAAAUUAUGUCUUAAAGAAAAUAAAUAAAUAAGAUAAAAAGCAAUUUUGUAAUUUCACAGAAAACUAAUGGUAAUAUAACUAAAAAUUAGACGAGAACAGCUUCUAGCAUAAUAUGAAAAAAGAGAGAUUUUAAAAAUUGAGGUCUUGAUUAAUGUAAUAUUGUAAAUCUCAAAACAGAAAUAGUAUUAGGGAUAAAUUAAAUUGGAGUACCAAAUUCUUCCUUUUAUACUAAAAAUAUAUUAAAUUUAUGAUAUAACUAAAUCAUCACUGAAAUUUAUACUUUGUAAAAAAAAAAAAUCAAAAUUUUGAUCUUAAAAGAUAUAUGACCUGUGCUUUUCUUGUAACAAAUCAAAGGUUUAAUAUAUUUUUGUUGCAAAAUGCAAAAUUUAACGACUAUCUAUAUGAAUUUACUAUCUAAGUGUGACAAAAAAUUCCAUUAAUGUUACUAAAGUUAAAGUUUAGCAAUUAUUGAAUUAUAAAUAAAAUAUUUUUUACUUUUUUAUUAUAAAGUGUAAAGUAUAAUAACCGCCAAUAUAAUUUAUUGAUAAUAUUACCUUAGAAUUUAUUUAUAUACCAAGUGAAAGAAACUGGAACUUAAAAUCGAUAAUAUUGCUUAGUUUUGCCUUUCUUUUUUUUCUUUUUUUUUAUCAGUUAUGGUGAAAACAUCACAUUUAACUUCAUCCCUUUGCAAGGUUGGUUUCAGUAGAUUUCUUAAUUAAUCACAAUUUCUUCACAAACCAAGACUUUAUUAAAGCAGAAUUUGGGUAAGGUACCCAGUACAAAAACUGACCAACUAUAUCAACAAAAAAUGGAAAAUGAAACGGUACAAGAACAAAAAUAAUAUAAAACAUAUAACGCACGCGAUAAAGUCACUCUCUUGUAACAGUUGCCUUUGCCAAGUUGUCUGCAUAUUUUCAACACUUAUAAAUUAGUCUAACAUGUUUAAUUUGGAAGCAUGCAUGUGAUUAUGCCGGGUACAAAUUUGCAGGCAAACGUGGCUUUGCGAGUGCAACUAAUGGUUUGGCAAGUGCCAAACUAUUCUUAGACUCUGAAAGAUCAAUGCUUGUCUCAUUAGGGGGCACGCUCCAGCUAAACCCUUGAAGAAGCCUAGCAAAUAACAUAACAGUCACUGCAGUUCCCAAUAUGAUGCCUGGACAACCUCUUCGUCCUGUACUAAAUGAAAGCAAGUUCAAAUCAGGCUCCGUCAGCAUCACUUGACAUCCAUUUCUCUUGAAAUGACGCUCUGGUUUGAACAUGUGUGGUUCAUCCCAAAUCCGGGGAUUCCGGCCGAGGCCGACUCGGCUAAGCAAGACAUGGCUACCUUUCGGAAUAAAAUAGUUAGCAACAGUUGUAUCUGCUAUGGAGACAUGAGGAAGAUUGAAGAAGACAAUAGGGUGGAGGCGAAACGCUUCUUUAGCACAUGCUUUUAUGUAAUUGAGCUGUGGAAAAUCUGACUCUUGGACUAGUCUCUCCCUUCCAACAACUCUAUCCAAUUCUUCUACUGCUUUCUCAAGAAGUUUCGGUUUGUUUAUCAUCUCUGCAAGUGCCCAUUCUAUAGCAUUUGAUGGAUUAUCUACUACUGCCAUCAUUAUUUCCUGCAAAAAUUGAUAGUUGAUAUUUAAUUAUUGAAAUUAGCUGGUGGGAAAUAUAGUAAUUAAAAUGAAAAACACAGUGAAAAUAUGCAUACAACUGGUAAUUUUCCUUAUAUCCAUACCAGGGAUAUAUUCAAAAAUAAAUUCUUUGUGAAGACAAUAGAGCGUGCAUGCACGCUUAAUUUGAUAUAUUCAUUUAACAAAAUCACCAGUUGAUAUUUAGCUUUGUUGAAAUCAGUUGGUAGGAACUAUUGUUAUUAAAAUGGAAGAUGCAAUAAAUUUGAAUCUUAACCAACAUAUUUAAUGUUUGCCGAACUCAAAAUGACGAACUGAACUUCUUGCAAGAAAGGACAUGCAAAUGGAAUUUUCCUUAAAUCCAUUUCUUAAAUCAGGUGCAAAAACAUUAUAUUUCGAAUGUGUUGUGAGAGGGAGUGAGAGAGAGACGGAAUUUACAGUAAUUUGAGCUUUAAUCUCUUCUGUUGACAGCAAAGAGUUGCCACUGGCAUCUUCUAGAUUUAUGAAAACGUCAAGCAAGUCAUCCACUUCCUUUUUGGUGCCAUCCUUCCAUUGUUGGACCCUCUCUUCAAUUAUGGGAUCUUGAUAUUUAUUUAUGGUCCCAAGAGCAUCCUUCAUGACCUUCCCAUGGCCAUCCAAGUCAAGCCCUGUCAAGCAUGGCAUGUAAUCAGAAACACAAAACGCAUAGCUAUGAGCAAGGACUGUGAAAAUCGCAUCAACAUGCUCUUUUUCCUCGAUACCAGGUCCUCCGUCCUUCAUUCCCUCCCCGAAGAACCUUUUGUUAAACACCAUUUUCCUUGUUACAUUUCCACAAUAGUGCCGUCCAGUGACUCUCACGUUAACUGAUCCACCUUCCUCAACAGUCUUGCAUUGGUUAUAUACAUAACGUACAAGGUGAUCAGCUGCUUCAAGUCUUUUUCCGUAAAACCACUUGCAUUUUUCCACAGAAAGAAAUUGCGUUACCAGCACUCUCCUCAUUUUCUUCCAUUGUUCUCCCAAGGGCACAGCACCUGUUGCCAAAUAACCUCUUGUAGUGAGAUCGGUGGACAUGGUUAACGGUCUGCUUGCAAAAAGAGCAUCCUGUACUUCCAAGAAUUCGCGGCUAAUCUCAGGAGAAGUGACAGGAAUCACAUGAACGUUUCCAAGACGGAUACAAGCAAUUUCAGUGUUCAUUUCUUUCAUGAGCUUGUGUAUCCAUCGAAAGGUCGGCUUAUUUGCUAGCAUCGUUGGCAGGCAUCCGACAAGAGGCCAAGGUUUUGGGCCAGGAGGUAGUGGGAGUUGCUUGGCGUUUUGGCUUUCUAGCUUUUGGAAUUUCGUCAAGUAAAUUAAGGCCAACGCCAAGAGAAGAACUAGGGAACAGGAGCUCAACAAUGUUCUGAGAAAGCCAAUGCCAAUUCCUGCCAAAUCUGGAGUGCCAUGAAGAGAAGCUAGCCUAGUGCAAGAUAUUANNNCUUGCAUGCUUUGCAGGAUGCUGUUUCGAACAAACUCUCACCUCUUUUAUCUCAUUUGCUUUUUUCUUUUCCUUCUUUUUUUGUUUACACAAUGCAAUAAUUAACUCUAUAAUCUCUCCCAUUUAUAGGGCUGAAUCCAAAAUCUACGAUGUAAUUCAAUAUAGCAAUGCAAUAGAACGAUUUGUUAAAUCUGAAUAAUACAGGACGCGUGAUCCGUAUUUAUACUUGUAUCUUAAUAACUCUACUGUAUAUACCAUAUAUUUGAGCUUUUAUUUAUACAUUUAUCCAAAUCAUAAAUUAACUAUAUAUUAAAUCUUCUUCUAUUCAUUUAUACAAACCAUUUACACAUUAUGGAAUUCAAGUUUAGUUUGGCCACACAACAUAUAUUAUUAUUAUUUAAGGUAUCAUUUUUAUUUCCUUUUGAUUUCAUAACUAACCUCAUUUAUGCAUUCAUGUAUAUACAUGUCUGAAAGAAUAUUUCAUAACUAUUCUUUUAAUAUCAUCGCGUUUGACAAGCGAUUAGAAAACAAUCAAAAUUAAGUUAAAACGAUAUGGGAAAAUAACGGAUGAGAUGGGAUACAAGGGCUGUGGAGUAGCAACUUUAAAUCUCAAAAUUUUUUACCUAAAUUUGGUGUAUGUCCUCGCCUAUAUACUAAACCGAUAAAUGAUAUUUAUUAAUUUUAAAUAAUUAAAUAUAUAUCAAUUAUCCAAUAUAAAAGUGUAAAAUACUCAUAUAUAGUCACUCUCCUAUUAGAUAUGGUGUAUACAUCAACGCUAGAUAAUAAUUUUUUCUCUAAGAAAUCACCAUUGUACUAGUCCUUUCAUAUUAUUCUUGUAACAGUUUAUGGCCGAUAGAAUUUGGUGUUGUUAUACUAUAUAGUCCCAUAAAAAAAAUGAAAAAUUAAAUAGUUGGACGCUGAAUAGAGCCGUUACACGCUGAUAUCACCGAACUAUCUAAUUUGGCUCCUCCGUCCACUACCCACAACCACUGUCCACCUUCAUUAGUGCUAGGGCUAAGUUUGCCAGCAACUCUUCUACUCCCGACUAGUGUCCUGGCCUCUCUCUCUCUCUCUCUCUCUCUCUCUCUCUCUCUCUCUCUCUCUCCUAACCUUCCUUCCUCCCCCUACCCGUUUCCUUUUUAUUCUUCUCCCUUUUCGUUCUUUACUUACCCCUAGUUAUUUACUCUUAAACCCCUAACUUGUAUUUAUCCUUUCAAUUAAGCCACUAAUUUGUUAUAUUUGGCCUAAAUUAGUUACAAUUAUUAAAAUAUAAAAAAUAUUUUGAUCCUGCGUGACACUUUUAUAUCUAAAUCCCAUAUUUAAAUCAAACUUUUAUUUUAACCCCAUUUUAUAUAAACAAAUAUUAGUUUAAUCCUUAGUUAAUUUACUCGAUCAAAUUCAUUAAAAUCUAAAUACUCAAAUAAUUAUUAUUGUUAUAGCACUGUAAAUAAUAAAUUAAAUCCUUUAUUAAGUCCCAUAGUCUUAUAUUAUUUAUUUAAAUAAUACACCUUACCUAAAUCAAAUAAAUAAGUUCCAUAAAUAUCUCAUUAUUAUUAAUACUAAAGAUAAAUCCUUAAAUAACACUUUAAUUUUAGGUCACUGAUAGGUUGAUAUUAUGUAUAUAUAAUUAAAGUAUUUUAGUAAUUUAUUGGUAUAUUUUAUAUACAUAAUAUGUAAAAAUAUAUGUUUAUUACCUCAUUUUAUAUUUAUUGUCUAAUUUCAGGUGACAAUAGCCAAAAAGAUAGAAUAUGAGCCAAAAAUGCAUAAAUGGACUUUAAUUAGACUGCAGCUGUAAAAGGCUCGGAAUAAAGACACGUGGACAACCAAAAUUGCAGGCCUAGUCGAGUUUAUCAAUAUCCAUGAAAGAAAAAUUAAUUAUGAUGUAAUUAAGAUAAAUUAUUUUUUUUAAGUUGUUUAUUUUGUUUAGGAUAGUUAACAGAUAACUAUAGCAGUGUUAUGCUUAGAGAAGGACUCUGAAAAAAGAAUCUUUACAAGAAGUAGAGCAGUUAAACAAGGAGAGCAUCGUUCUAUUAUUCUUCUCUCUGCAAAUUCCCUAUAGUUCGUCUUCUACAACAUUUAAUUAGUUUUGCAUUAUUCUUUCAAAGAUUAGAGAAGCUUUUCAGGACGUGGAGAAUAAGGAUCAAUCUUCUUCAUCCCUUGAAGAACUUCUGGAUUUUAAGAGAGUUUUAAUUCUCUGUUUUAUAUUUCUUAUGUCUUUCUAUUUAAUUAUAAAGACUGUUGAAUUAAAUAUAUCAGGCUAAGUUCCAUAAGUGUUUUUAGUUUGGCUUUUUACUUAUAUAUGAACUUUAUAUAUUAUGAGUUUAAUAAAUAAUUUCUUUAUCUUCAUACAUGUAUUAGUUUCAUCUAUUAUUGUUGAUUGACCAUUAUAUCAAUUUUAAUAGUAAUAUGUGUUUUGAAAAUCUUUAGGUUAAAAGUAUUAGAAACAUCAUCUUUACUUUAAUCCAUAUUGGUAUAAGAAACCUAGGUUGCAUCAUUAGCUUGAGUGACUUAGGGAAAAGGUACAUCACCAUCUCAUUCAUGAGAUUUAGAUUUAAAGGGAAAUAAGGAGAUUACUAAGUAUAAACUAGACUAAAUGCUAAUUUAUCAUACAGUUUACAUUAAAUAUUUUAUUUGCAUAUUAUUUUCUAUUUUAUUUAAUUUCUUUCGUAAACCUUCAAAACUAUUCUCGAAGCAUUGACUUAGAGUGUUUAGAUUUAUUUUUAGAUAUUUUUGUAUGAUAGUUGGUCUUUAUAAUAUAAGCUCUAAAUGUAAUUCAUCAACGCAAGAUUCCUACAACUUGAGAUCAGCUAUUAAAAAGGGAGAAGGAGACUAAGAAGUAGAUAGUGAGUUUGUACCUCCAGGAGAAAAAUAAUUUGAAGAAAAGCUAGAACAAGAAUUUGAAGAGGAGGUUGAAAUGGCUAUGAAAGAUUAUGCUCGUCCCAUAAUUGGUAACACUACUUCAUGCAUAAUUCUAGGUGAUGCAUCUAGGAAUUAUAAACUUAAGAACAUUCAUUUUAAUAUGAUUCCUUCAUUCUAUGGUAUGCCUAGUAAAAAUAAAUUACAUUUAUUUAGAAAUUUUAUGUUACAGUUUAUAUAUUCCCAUUAUCUAGACUAAAUAAAUACCAACUAAGCAUGAGAUGUUUUCCUUACUCAUUAAAAGAGAAAGCAAAUGUUUGGUUAAUGACCAUGCCUCCUAAUUCUUUGAGAACUUGAGAUGAAAUUUAUCAAAAAUUUAUGAGUAAAUUUUACUCAUAUUAAAAGACCAAAUAAUUAAAGGCUAAAAUUUUCAACUUUUAUCAAAAUGAUACUAAAUCUUUUCAUAAAGCAUGAGAUCGCUUCAAAUCACUUUUAUUGCAAUGCCCACACCAUGGAUAACCCACUUCCUGUGACCAACCAAUCAUUCUAUGAUGGUUUAACAUAAUAAUAUCAAUAUAUGGUUUAUAAUAUAGCUGGGGGUGCUAUGUUAGAAAAAACUGUUGAUGAGGUUUGUGAUAUCUUUGAGAUGUUAGAAGCCAAUUCACAAUAAAAGAGUAUGAGAACAAAAGGAGUAGGAGUAAAUGAAGUUGUGUCUAAUAAUGAGAUGGCUAUGCAGGAAUAUACCAAGCAAUAAGGUAUGUGGUAUAUGUGGUGUUUAUGGUCAUGGUGCUAAUGUUUGCUCAUCUUAUGAGAUUUAUGCAUGAAAUAAUUAUGAACAAGUUAAUUUGAUAGAAUCUUAUCAGCCUAGGCAACCUAGGAAUAAUCCAUAUUCCAACACUUACAAUCCAGAAUGGAGGAACCAUCCAAAUUUUUUCCUGGAGAAAUAAUGAUCAAAACCCACCAUAAAUAACCUAGGUUACAUUAUUAGCUUGAGUAACUUAGGAAAAAGGCACAUCGCUAUCUCAUUCAUUAGAUUUGGACUUAAAGGAAAAUAAGGAAUUACUAAAUAUAAGAUAGACUAAAUACUAACUUAUUAUAUAGUUUACAUUAGACAUUUCAUUUGCAUAUUUAUUUAUUUAUUUAUAUAAUUUAUUUUAUAAACUCUCAAAACACUGGCUUAGGGUGUUCAGUUUUAAUUUUAGGUGCUUUGUGUGAUAAUUAAUUUUUAUAAUAUAUGAUUUACAGUUAUUUUGUGAGAUCGAUUUCGUGAUAAAUUUACUCAUAUUAUCAUUCGAUUCGUACACUUACGAAUAUUAUAUUUGAGACAUCAAUCACAUUAUUCAAAAUAAUAAAUCAUAUGCCCAUUACUUGAAUAUAUCAAAUGUUUAUUACUUGAUUAAUAUGAGAUUAUUAUUAUUAUUAUUCCUGUAAUUUAUAUGUACUAAUUUAUUAUUUAUUUUUAGUGUUAAAUUGUACAAAAUAUCUAUAUAUUAAGUUGUAGAAAACUCGAGAUGUCAAAUACCAUAUGAGUUGCAUUUAUAAAUUUAAUAUGAUGAUAUAUAUGUUUCAAUAUAAAUAACUAUUAAGUUUGAGUUUUCCUUCCUGUUUGUCAUGAAAAACUGUCCACUUGCAAUGGCAAAAAUAAUAUUAUGUGAUUCUUAAGGAUUCAACGCCCAGUUAUCAAGAAUCGAGAGAGAGCCAUGACACAUCUUGUCCUCUACUGAUCAAUCAUUCACCCCAACUUAAAGCACUAGGCACGAGCCAUGAGACAUAGGCCUUGAUAGUGGUCCUGUCCUCUAUUUAUCAAUCAUAUCCCUCAAUUGAAGCACGUUGUUAUUUCGAAGAAAGAAAAAAUGUACGAUUUUGUGCAAGAAUUUACAACCAAGUAUUUAAGGGUGGCCUGAUCCAUUUAGAUAACAGUCUGCCCCACCGAGCAGUACUAUCACCAAAAAGUGUGAUUCUAGUCAUUUAUAUACAGAUAAAUGCCUCAAAAGGCAACCACUUAAUGUAUACACUGAGCUAUAUGCAUUUUCAUAAAAAAUAAUAUAUUUUAUUUGACAUCUCAUAUUUAAAAUGUGAUAUUUUAGAUCAUAUAAAUAAAUAUAUGUAUAUUUAUCCAGCUAAAGAAAAUUAUAUUUAUAUAUAAAAUAUUAAAAAUAUUAUUCUUCAUUUUCAGUUUUUACAAAGAAUAAUUAAAUUAAAAUCACCUUUAAAUAAAUAUUUUUUAUGAGAAACAAUUUAAAAGAUCAUAAUUAUAUAAAUAAUAAAGUAAAAAAAAUACAAUGUUAUAAUUUUAUCCACUCUCCCAGCAUGCAAGACUUUUAACCAAAUCCUUAACCGAACUAUAACUUUACACAACCUGCUAACUUUAAAGAGUUAUUUAAACAUUUAACUCUAUUUUUAAUAAUAAUUUUAAUGUUUUUUUUGCUAACAAUCCUUAUCCAACUUCUAAUAUCUAUAUAGUAUCUCGUUCUUGACAAUCAUUAACUUUUAUAAUUAACAUAAUCAAUCAUCUUAAUAACUAAUCCACCUUAUCCACUAAUUACACUUCAACUCAUUUAAUUAAUAGGAGUAUUAAAAAUAUUAAUUAUAAUAUCACAUUAACAUAUCAUUAAUUAUCAACCAAUAAUUAUAUAUAAUUAAAUACCUCAGUUACUUACUAUAAGUUUUAUAAUUCAUAUACCACCUUCUAAACUAAUUAUCAUAAUUUAAUAAUAAAAUUCAUAAUGUAGUUAAUAUUUAUUUUUCUUAUGUUCUCCAUCUUCCCAAUAAUAGAUUUUCGUCCAUUUAAUCUAUAAAAAUAAUAAAUUAAUUAAUUCCUUAAUAUAGGUACUAACUAAUAUAUCUUCAAAAAUGUUAUAAUCUUUAAUUAAUAAUUAUGUAAUACCCGAAAUUUUUAUAUAUUUAAUAAUGAGUUUUUAUUUAAGUUAAUUUUAGCUUUAUUUUUAUUCGGUUUAAUUGGAAUGAUUUAAAUACAAAUUUUGAAUUUUAAUGUUAGACAAAUAAAUGAAUUAUUUUUCUAUACCCAAUUAGUUGAAAUUUUAAGAAUUAAUUAAGUAAAUUAUUUGAAGAGUAGAAUAUAUUUUUGGUUAUUCAAAUUUUUCCCAAAUGCAUAUUUAUAUAAGUAAAAUUAUAUAUUGGAAAAUUAUGGUAGAAAUUGUAAAGGAUGUUAUAAAAGAAUUUUGAGAAAAUUGGUAUUAUAAUUGAUUAGUAGUAUUAAAUUUUAAGUUGGAAAUUGAUUAUUUAAUUUAAUUGUGUGUAGGAUUUAAUUGGAGGAUUAUUUUGGAAUAAGGAUUAAAAGUAUAAUUUUAUUAUUAUGAGGGUUUAAUGGAAAUUUGUGAGUUUGGUAUUUUCGUAAAUAAAUAUGUCGGUCAUGUGUAUUUUUGUAAUUUUAUAUUUUCAAUAAUUCUAAUUUGGCCCAAAUUAAAUAGUUAAGGGCUUAAUUGAAAGGAUAAAAGAAAGUUUAGGGGUUAAAUUGAAAUUCUGCAGGAUGAGAUUGUAAGUAAGGAAGUUGAGGGACCAAAUUGUGAUAAGGAAAAGUUUGGGGGCUUAAUGUCGAUAUUGAAAGAAAGAAAAAAGGAAUGGAAUCGGGGAAGAAGAAGAAAAAGAGAGAGAGAUGUCGGGGGAGAGAGAGGAGCGCGCGGAGGAAGGAGCUGCGGCGUCGAGGCCGUCCGUCCGGGGUGCGGGGCUGGCCGGCGAUGCUACGGGAGUCAGCGGCGGCGGCAGCAGCGGCAGCGGCAGUGGCACCAGCGGGCGACUGCAGCAGCUCGCGCGAGGAGGAAGUUGGCCGAAGCUUCCUUGCCGCCGUGCGGGCGCUUCCGGCGUCGGUGGUCGCUGAUCUUGGUGCCGAUCGACUCCUCUCGGCCUUAGCUUUGUUUUGGUGGCGGCGAUGUCGACAAUGGUGGCCGGAAACGGAGGUUCACGGUGGAGAGAGAAAAUGGAGGCAGCCAAGCUUUUUGGGCAUUUCCGGUGAGCUCCAGCGAGCUAUGGAAGAUCAGAGGACAUAUCCCGACUCUCCUCAGCUCAUGCUUCGAAAUGGCACCGGUUUCGUGGCGAUCGGGCUCCGUUUGCGAAUCGACGGCCGAGAUCCUCCGAAAAUCUCUCCAGAUGAUCGGGUGUCAGAUCGGAAAAUUAAAAGCGGGGAUCGUCAUCAGCGCAUCCUUGUGAGUCCGAUGAUGUGUUCGGAUCGUCGAUCGGACUCCGGCGGCUGAAGGCGAGUCGACCGAGCGAUCGAGCAUCUCAGUAAUUUUCUCUGGCCGUUGAUCUUGGAAAUCCUUUGAUUUUAAAUUUAUGCUUAUUGUUUUAUGUUGAGUAUUUAAUAUUUGUGAGUCAAAAAUAAUUGUCUGUCAGUUUGCCUGCCUCGUGUUUUAUAUUGUGUGGCGGAGUCGGGAAAAUAGUGAAGUUUGGAGACCCGACUCCCGUUGUUUGAAUUGUUGAAUAUUUGAAGUGUUUUUCUGGCAGGUCCUAGACCCGUUUUUACGAGGGGUAAUGUCCGUAUUGUAGGGGAUGUUCCGCCGAAUUUUCGGUAGAAUUCUCCCGAGUCGAGAUUUUUAGACAGUCAGUCCUAGGAGUCUAGACCUAGGAUUAAUGAUCGAUUGUUUCAGCGUUUUGAUAAUUGUUUUCCGUGACUAGAUUGUCCGUUUUUUCCGCUCGCUCCAACCGAGGCACCAGAGCAGAGCUAGGAGGUCGCUCAAUUUUGUGAGUUAAAGUCAUUUAAUCAUUGCACUAUUGCUAAGUCUGAUUUUAAUAUGCUAUUUUAGAAUUUGUGCUUAAUAUGAUUAUUAGUAUCGCAAAAUAAAUAAUUUCACUUGAUUAUUAAUUAUUGAAAAUAAUAUAAAUAUUAUUAUUAGUAACGUUAUAAUAAUACAGAUAUUAUUAUUUUUUUCGACACGAAUUGCACAUUGCCUUAUCCUAAAUUUUUAAUCUUUNNNNNNNNNNNNNNNNNNNNNNNNNNNNNNNNNNNNNNNNNNNNNNNNNNNNNNNNNNNNNNNNNNNNNNNNNNNNNNNNNNNNNNNNNNNNNNNNNNNNNNNNNNNNNNNNNNNNNNNNNNNNNNNNNNNNNNNNNNNNNNNNNNNNNNNNNNNNNNNNNNNNNNNNNNNNNNNNNNNNNNNNNNNNNNNUGGGAAAUGUGGCUUUAGUAGACAUGCCACUGUGGGUGCAUCAGACGCGUGCGCAACGGUAUGAUCAAAGUAAGGUAAUAAGGUUAUUAUGGAUUUGUUUGCCUGAUCGAGCAUUGCUCUCUGGGCUGAGUUCAGUUGAUUGCCGGGAAUUAAGGUCCCUGAUCAAGCAACGCUCUCUGGGCACCGGCUUAUUUGGAAUUCAAGUGUUCAGGCUAGAGGUAAGGACCCUGAUCGAGCUUGCUCUCUAGGCGCCAGACCUGUUGGAUUAAGAGAGCCGAAAGGCUACUAGAAUUUGGGGUUAGGGUUCUACUGAGCCACUCGUCCCGUAAAAGUAAAAAUAUAUUUUUAUUUAUUAUGGUAUGAUUAUAGUAUGAUUGGUAUUUAUGUGCAUGGUUUGAUAUACUGAUUUGAAUAAUUAAUAUUUUCUGUGAAGACUGUAAUAGUCUCUAGAUUAUUUGAUUUUAACUCACUCUCGAGACUGACAGUCUCCAUUUAUUUUUUUUCAGAUUCGUGACUGUUAGUCUUCCCGCGACUCUUACUCAGUAACUCGAUUCUUUCAUCAUCGGGUGGUGUUUGAUUUGGUAUGUCAAAUUGUAAAAAUCUUAGAUUCUCCGUAGUUGCAAUAGUAGAGGUAUCAGUUGUAAAUUUUAUGAGUUUCGGGUCUCGCCUAAUUUUUCUGGCAGACCGAAGUAAUUAUGUAAAAUGUAACUAUUAAGAUAAUUUAUGGCUUUAAUAAUAUUAAUUUGAGAUGAGAUUUGUUUGAGUUGUGAGUUUCAGGCUUACUACGGGAUUCGGUGGCUUUACGCCUACCCAUUCCCUAGUGCCGGUCACGGGCUCACAGCUGGGGUGGUGACAAAUUAUCUAUUUAUUCUACUGAAAUUUAUAUUAACUAUGUAAAAAUUAAACAAUAUGCAUAUAUGUUAGCGGACUCGGCAUUGGUCGUUGGAGUCUGAUCGAUUAUCCAAUGAAUCUAAUAGACUCGUAAUGAUACAUAGAUCAUGAAUCCAAUGUGAUCCUUCAUUCAAGUUACCGAUCAACUCUGAAAUAGUCAAACAGUUUUGGCUAUCAAUUUUUCAAGAGAGUCAUAUCACUAUAAAACUGGUGUAGAUAGAAAAUUUAUAAGGAGAAUUUAUUAUUCUCUAAUUACUUAGAACACGUCACAAUUAGAUGAAAUCCGUUACAAAUCAAACUAGCUUUGUUUUCUCUCUCUACUGCGUCUCAUCAUCCCCAGUCAAAGUAGAGGCCGCCAUGGUCAUCACUUGAAAGCUCAUUAUAAGAUGAGUCCAAUGCCACUAGUUCUAAUAACCGGCCUACUAAAGGAAGGAGAUCCGCUAGUUGGAAUUUUUAAUCUUCUAAACUUACUCCUCCAUACGUUGCCCACAAUCGCCAAGUGGUAACAGCAAGGUCACUUAGUGACUGUGGGCAGCGUAUGGAGGGGUAAGUUUAGGACACUAAAACUUCCAAUUGGUAGAUCUCUCUCCUUUAGUAGGGCCAAUGACUGGAACUAGUGGCAUUGAACUCAUCUUGUCAUGAGCUUUCAAGUGAUGAUCCUGGUAGCCUUUACAUUGAUCAGAGAUGACGAGACACAGUGGAGAAAGAAAACGAAGCUAGUUUGAUUUUAACGGAUUUCAUCCAAUUCUAAUGAUGCAACCAAGGAUGCAUCUAAGUCAACUAGCAUGGAUCCACUAGCCUAUGGAGGACCAAUGACACGAGCAAGGAGUAAGAAGUUCAAGCAAGCCUUAAAUUCUUACUUGGAGCAUGUUUUGAAGAUGGCUAAUGAUGGUGCUUUUGAUGAUGAUGCCUUGAAGAUAGUGACAUUAAUUGCUAUUAAUGAAAGAGCAAAAAUUUAGGCAGAAGAUCAUUUUCAGUAAAGCCUGACCACGCCUUACAAUCCAUGAGCUGCUGGAACCUCAAAAAAAGUGUUGAAUUUUUCAAGAUAAAUUCGUGGUGGACCGAUUUUUAGUUAAUUUCCUCUAUUUUUGGAAGUACUGGAUAAAGAGAACUUUCUCCCAUGAAUUUAGAAUUUUAAUUUUUUUAGAUUACUCUUUAUCUUAUCCUUCCUUAUAGGGAUAAGAUCAGCCGCAUAUUAGGAGUCUUUUAUGGUUUGAUUUUUAUUCCUUAUUUCUUAGUUCUUUUUAGGGUUAGAAUCAUUUCAAAGACUCUAUGAAUAGAGCUAUGUAUUUCGGCCAAAGGCAUUAUAUUUUAUAAGAUCAAUAUAUCAUUUUGAAUGAAGUUUAUUUUCCUUGAGUUGUUAACUCUUGAAUUUCUUGAGAUUAAAUUAACUUGUUUAGUUUAAUUUCACAUCUACAUGUUUGAUCAAUCAAUUAAAUUUUUAUUAGUUUCUUGAGUUGUUUGAACAUUCUUCAUCUAUUUAUAACUAAAAGGGCUUAGUAGUUCUAUUGCUAAGUUUGUUAAUUCCAUAAUCAAUUACAAACUUUCAAGUUAGAUUUUGGAGCGAUAAUUCAAACUUAUUGGUAAUGGUACUUCCUCUUAAAUGGAGAGAGCGUUUAUUAGUUGAUUAUCUCACCAUUGCUUAUCUUGGUGUUUGAACGUAUCCAGUUCGAGUUCGUAUCAGACGUGCUUUGGGUAAUCAAAGAACAAUAAAAUCUCCUCCUCAUAAACUUUCUAUCUACACCAGUUUUAUAGUAGUCGGACUCCUUUAAUAAAUUGAUGUCCAAAAUUGUUUGACUAUUUCAGAGUGAUCGGUAACUUGAAUGAAGGAUCAUACAUUUGAUUUGUGAUCUAUGUAUCAUUACAAGUCUAUUAGUAUCAUCGAAUAAUCAAUCGGACUCACUCUGAAGACUAGCACCAUAUCCAUUAACAUAUGGUAUAUGAAUUAUAAAACUUAUAACAAGGAAUUAGAGUAUUUAAUUAUAUAUAAUUAUUGGUUGAUAAUUAAUUAUAUUAUUAAUAUUGUUAAACUCCUAUUAAUUAAAUGAGUUGAAGACUAAUCAGUGGAUAAGGUGGUACACCGGGUAGCUGACAAGACUCUAAGACUAUCAUGAUUGAAGAAAGUGUAGUGGACUCGGCUCUAGACUACCUUGCUGAAUUUAUGUGAUUCUUAAGGAUUUAAGCUAGUUAUCAAGACUCAAGAGGGAGCCAUGUAACAAUGAGUCUUGGUCUUGUCCACUAUUUAUCAAUCAUCCAUCUUCGAUCACCCUAUAUGCAGAAAUUACAUAAUUAAAUUUAUAAUUUCAUCUAUUUUGACAAUUUUAUUUUGAUUAAAGUUUUUUAGUUAAAUAUCUUAAAUCUAAUUUUUUUUACAUUUAAAAUAGUUGUUUGAGAGUUCAGUUUAAACAUAAGAAUUGAUUGGGAAAUUACUAAAAAAAUAAAUUUUGUGUAACAUUUAUAUAAAUAUAUAAAUGGUUUUAAUUAUAAGACAGCUACUAAAUGGAAUUGCAGAACGUUUUUACACUAUUUUUCUAAUUAAAAACAGAAAUUUUAAUAUGCCAAUAAAAAAAUUAUAUUAAUUAUGUAAAAUUAAUUAAGUAUUUAAAUUUAUAUUGAAAUAAUUAAGAUUACUUAUUGUAGUGAAAUAAUCUAAUGAAACAUAUAUUUUGGCUUUCUUGAUUUUCUAGUUCUCCAACUAUAGAGCUUCUAGUCCGUCCAUAUAAAGAAAUAGAAGCAACAUUGUAGAGAUUUGAUUUUCUCCUUUAUCAAACCCUUUUACCAAAACCAAUUUUUAGAUUUAUUUUUUCUUAUAACCAUCAAAAUCUCAAGAGUGUUUUUUUUAAAGACUACAUUGUAUUAUCCGCAUAAACGAUAACUAAUAUAUAUAUAUAUAAAUAAAUUAAAACUUCUUUUUAACUUUUACUUUUUGCCUCUUUUUAAUUUAUUUAUAUAUAUAUAAAAAUAAAUUAAAACUUCUUUUAACUUUUACAUUAAUAUAUUUAUAUAUAUUAAUGUAAAUUAAUUAUUUCAUUUAACCAUUUAACUAAAAUAUAAUUAAUUCUGGCAUAAAUUACUAACACCAUCAAGAGAAGCUAGCAUAGUGCAAGAGAUUACAGAGGUAAGGUAGUAUUCUGCAUGGCCACAAAACUGUCCCUUCGAUAUGGUGCUUAUAAUUGACUAGAACUGGAAAGCUUGCACACUUUGCAGGAUGCAGUUUUUGGCAAACUCUCAGCUCUUUUUAUCUCAUUUGCUAUUUUCUCCUUUUUUUUUUUUGGUCACACGAUGUAAUAAUCUUCACUAUAACCUCUCUCCCAUUUACAAGGCAAAGCAUAUGGUUGCUCGGCUGGUUAAAUGCUAUUAAUAAAAAUAGUAAUUCAUUAUUUUUAACAAUAAGGCACAAAGAUUUCUUGAUUUAUCAUGCUAUUGCUUUAGGAUUAUAUACAACCACAUUGAAAUAAAAAAAAAAAUCGCUACUUUAAACCGUAAAUACUAAAUCGCUACUAUGGAUUGUCGUUAAUUAUUAAAAUUCAUUGAGGAACAUGAAUUUUGCGACUGCUAUCUCAGAAUCGCUGCAUGGAAAAGAGCCAUUGUAACUUUAAAAAUUGCGGCCGCAAUUUAGCAAGCGCGUUCAAUAUUGAGCAAGCGCAACCACUAUUCUUCAGUUGUGACUGCAACAGCUCUGACAAUGCGUUUUUGCACUAGCUUGAGCUAAAAAAAAGAAGAUUGGUAAGAGUUAUGUGAGUAAUGGUUCAUUGGUAGUUUGGAACUAUAAAUACUCCCUAGAAUAUUUAUGAAUGAUGAAAAACCUCACAUUACACAAUUUAUUGAUCCUUUAAUUCUCACAUUUGUAUAUCAUUUUUAUCUUUAUAAAAGGUUGUUGUAAAGGUUUAAGUGUUAGCCUUAAACAUUUAGAUGGGUUUGAUAGUUAGCUUAGUAAUAAAAACUCUUGUAAGGAUUUGAGUGUGACCUACAAAUACUUAAAAAAAAGUUUGAGAGUUAGCAUGGAUAAAAUAACUUUUGUGAAGUUUGUUGUGAGCCUAGACACUAAGUUUGAGAGUGAGCUUGGAAAAAAUUCUCAGAUAUAGGUUUGAUGUGAGCUUGUAAAAUACUUGAGUUCGAUCUUUCACCCGCAAAAAGAAUCAGCAAUAAUAAAAUACCAAUUGAAAAUUGAGGAGUAUAUGUAGGGUUAGUUAAUAUCCAAACUAUUAUAACUCUUUGGUGUUGAUUUUUCUUCCAUCUUUAUCUAAUCUCUUGAGCAAAUUUUAAUUACCUAUCAAUCUUUUAAACACCAAUUCAACCCUUCUUCUUGGUGCAUCUAGGUCAAACAUGAAAUAAGGAUACUAAAGUUAUUUGCUUUAAAAUAAAAGGACACUAAAGAUACUACUAAUAAUAAGAAUUUAAUUAUAAUAUCCAAAAUAAGCUUAAUAGUAAUCUAUUUUACAUAUUAUUUUUAUUCUUUAUUUGUAUUUCAUACUAAUAAUUAAAAACUAAAAUUCGACCUAAUUUCAGUCACUAAUAAAUUUUUAUUGAGUCAAACGUAAACAGUAACAUGUUCGAAUCGGCUUUUGUAAUUUUCACUCAAAAUACAUUGUUAGGAAAUAUCCUAAUAUAGAAGGUGAUACUCAUGUAUGCUUUUAUAGAUGCUAGGAUAGUUAUUAUAUUUAUUUUUAAUAUAUAAAUUAAUAUUAAUAGAAGAUAUUUAACAUAUAUAUCGUUUGAAAUUAUAAUAAUUUAGAUAAAAAUAGAUAAGAUAAUUAUUAUAUAAGAUAAAAUAAGUUUAGUUAUAAAAUAUGAAUAUAAAAUUAAUUUAUAAAUACAAUAUAUAAUUUAUUAAUAGAAUAUGUAAUUAAAUGCUGUAUAAAGUACGAGUAUUAAAUUAAUUUUGUUAAUAGUUUCAAGUCCUUAAUUUAUAAAAGGUACAAAAUAACUUCUUAUGCAGGUAAUAAUAUCUGCCACUUUCACUGGGUUUGGAAGGAUCAUAAAAUAGUAUUACUAUAGUCAUCUAGAAUAUAUAAUAUUUGAAGAAUGAAAAACUAUAAAUUAUAAAAUUAUUUGAAGAAUGAAAAUCUAUAAAAUUAUUUAAAAAAAUAUUAAUUAACUUAAAAGUAAUUUAAAUAAUUAAAAUACUUGUUAAAUAGGGAGUCCUCAAUUAAAUGUACUUGUAGGUUUAUGCUCUAGCAAUGGAGCCGGACGGUUCCGCUUCAUACUUUUGAUUCUAGCUAGUUCUAACUAAUUUUUUUUUAAAAAGAAAUUAAUUAAUUAAUUUUUUUUUUUUUUUAUGAAUUGGAGUUAUAUUUGAUAUUUCUGGUUCCAGCUCAGGAGAAACUAAUCUUAAAUUAAUUUUCUGAUUCUAAGCCGAUUUCAAUUUUCUUUUAACUAAUUUAAUUUAAUUUAUUUAAUUUAUAUUUUUUAUCUAAAUAUUAAAAAUUAAUAUCAAUAAUAUUAAAAUUUAUAAAAUAGAAAAAUAAAUAAAUAAAAUUAUCCUUAAAUUCUCUCAUUCAAUUUAGGAAAGAAAGAAAUAAAUUUACCUUAUUUUUUGCAUUGGGCCAACCAACUAAGAAUUCUUUUUACAUUCUUUUCUCUAUUCUUUCUUUUAGUGUUUAGUGUUUCAACGUUUCGAAUUUAAGGUUCUUGAUUAGAUAUAUAUUUAUACAUCGGUACAUUAGCAUAUUAAUAGCUCUUCAAUCAAUAGAUAAAAGAUAUUUCUACAACUUAGUUAAUAUAUAUUUUGUUUUAUGUGAAAAGUUAUUUUUUUUAAUUUUCCGUCUGAAAAAAAUGAAAAAAUAAAAUUUGUAUGAUAAACUAUGAUUAGUUUAUUUAUAUUAUAAAUAACUAAUAAUAUUAGCAUCUUUAUAUUAGCAUCAAAGUUUGAAAGAGACGUUUUUUCGUUGGAAGUUUAAAACAUUGCCAACCCUACCAUGAAAAAGCUGAUGAUAGAGCUUUUUCUAACUCGUGCAUUUUGCUCCGUCUGUUUCAUAGAAAAUAUAUUCUAGAAAAGCAUUUACAAUUUCUUUUUUGUUUAUGAAAAGAAAUUUGGGGUCAAAACAAUUCAGCCAUUUUCUAAAAACAACGAUAUUUUACGUUAAAAAAUAGAAAACAGCCAUUUUCUAUUCAUUGGUGAUAUUUAAAAUAUUUUUCAAAAAACUAAUAUAUAUAUAUAUCCUUUCACAUAUUAAUUAUCCUAAAUCACUUCCGAUGAUCUUUAACGACCUCUAAUAAUACGUAUCUCAUGUUGGUCCUGAGACAAUCAUUAAAAAUAUACUUAAUAAUACAGUAAAAUCUUUUUAUAUUCAUGCACUUGAAAUUAAAUAAAAUUUAUCAUUAUGAGGAUAUUAUAAUUUAAUGGAGGUUUGAAUACUAAUCUUUUUUUACUUUAAUACUUAUUUUUUUGGUGAAAUAAUAGCAACUAGAAAUAAAGCACGCUAAUAUCUUGUCAUAUUAUACAAAUAUGAUUAAUGAGACAAAAAAUAAUACAGUAAGAUAAAAAAUAGCAUAUAUUUUUAAAAUAUAUAUAUACAAAUAUUAUUAUAUAAAGAAAGAUUUUUUAAGAUGAGAUUUAAAAAUUUAUAACUUAUUACGAUAUAAAAUUUAUUUUUCUUUAUAACUGGUUCAAAUUAAGAUAGAUUUUUUUUUAAUAAAUUCUCAUCUUAAAAAAUAUCUAUACGGUACUUUUUAUAAUGAAUCAAAAGUUUAAUACAUUUUUGUUAUAAAGUGUAAAACUUAUUGAUUAUAUAUGUAAUUUACUCUCUAGAUGUGCCGGAUCAGUAUUAUUAAAAUUAAAAUGUAGUAACUAUUUAAUUAUAAAUAAAAAAUUUGAUAUCCUUUUAUCAUAAAGUAUAAAAUUUAGAGACCACCAAUAUAAUUUAUUUGAUCAACGCGAGCCUGUGUCUUUCUUAAAGAUGAUUGGUUUGAGCUAUACGAUGUAGAAUAGAAAUGUGAGCUUGAAGACAUCCUCUACGUUUUGAAAUAGUACGAGAGCUUUAGGCUCGAGAUGGAUCUAGGAAUUUAUUUUCUGUUUAAAAAGCUCAAAUGUAUUGAGAAAAAAUAGAUAAAACGACAUCUUAUAUUUCUAAAGAAACUGGGUUGGAAUUGGGUUAGGCUAGGUUUUAGGAUAGAGAUUUGGUUUAAAUGGUUUUAUGAUUAGGAAAAAAUUUGUCAAUUUUUCAAAAUAUGUAUCAAUCUAAUAUUAGGUGUUGAUUGGUCCAAAUUGUAUAUAGAUAUUUAAAGGUAUUUUAGAGAUUUAACGGUAUAUUUCUAUAUAUAAUAUGAUGUAAAUAUGUGUUCUUACCACACUUUAGUUUUCUUAUUUAAUUUUAGAAAAUAAUCGUCAAAGAUGAGAAUUUGAGCUAAAAACGCACUAAUGGGCUUUAAUUGAACUUCAGCUGUAAAAGGCUCGGAAAUCAGACAUAUGGGCUAUCAAUAGGUUGGGUUUAGCUGAAUUCAUUAAGGCCCAAGAAGGAGGAUUUAAGUAAUUAUGAUGUAAUUAGUGGAUAAUUAUCUUUUAAGUUGUUUACUUUGUUUAGGACAGUAAGAAAUAAUUAUAGUAGUUAUAUAUUGAGAAUAGAACUCUAACAAUAGGAUCUCUAUAAGAAAUAGAGAUUAAUUAAAAUGGGAGAGUUUAGCUAAUACUAUUCUCCCUGAAGAAAGGAUUCUACUAGUCUCUGCAGAAAUUUCUAUAGUUCAUCAUUUUCUACAUCUAACUAGUUUUGUUGCAUCAUUCUUUCAAAAAUCAAAGAAGCUUUUUAAAGAUGUGGAGAGAGAGGAUCAAUCUUCUGCAUUUCUUGAAGGGACUUUGAACUUUGAGGGAGUUUUAAUUUUAUGUUUUAUGUAUCUUAUGUCUUUCUAUUUAAUUACAAUGAUCAUCGAAUUAAGUAUAAUAGGUUAAGUUCUAUAAGUGUUUGAUUUGGCUUUUUACUUAUGUAUGAACCUUAUAUAUUAUGAGUUUAAUGAAUAAUUUAUUUCCUUUCAUAUAUGCAUUAGUUUCAUCUACUAUUAUUGGUUGACCACCAUAUCAAUUUAGUAGUAAUAUUUGUUAUGAAAAUCUUUAGGUUAAAUGUAUUAGAAACAUCAUCUUUAUUUUAAUUUAUAUUGGUAUAAGAAACCUAAGUUGCAUCAUUAGCUUGAGUGACUUAGAGAAAAAUGUAUAUUGCCAUUUCAUUUGUUAGAUUUGGACUUAAGGGAAAUAAGGGGAUUAUUAAAUAUAAACUAGACUAAAUGCUAUUUUAUCAUAUAGUUAUUAUUAAUCAUUCUAGUUGCAUAUUUAUUUUCUGGUUAUUUAAUUUCUUUUAUAAAUUUUAAUAUCAUUCUCAGAACAUUAACUUAGAGUGUUUAUAUUUAUUUUUAGUAUUUUGUGUGAUAGUUGAUCUUUAUAAUAUAUGUUCUACAAUUGUGAGAUCGACCUCGUAGUGAGCUUGCCCAAACUAUCAUUCAGCUCAUAUAUUUGCGAGUACUAAUUUAGACACAUCAAGUUUUCGGUGUCGUUGCAGGGGAAUUAUGUCAAUAUUAUAUUCAUUAAUUGUCGGGUAGUGUUUCUUGUGUUUUUGUAUGUUGCAUGUUAUUUAUCUCUGUUUUAUUUUUAAAUUCCGUUCUUAAGUUUUUAAAUUUGAAAUUUUUUCUUUGAUUUUGUAUACCUAGCAGGAAAACGAGAUCAGGUGAUUCAUAAACUCAAAAUUCCUACAAUUUGAUAUCAACUGUUAAAAAGGAAAAAGGAGACCAAUAGGUAGAGAGUGAGUUUGUACCUCCAAGAGAAGAAGAAUUUAAAGAAAAGCUAGAACAAGGGUUCGAAGGAGAAGUUGAGAUAAUGACUAAUGACCAAAGAGAAGUUGCAGCUCAAAGGCAAAUGGCUAUGAAGGACUAGGCUUGUCCUAUAAUUGGGUAACACUACUUCAUGCAUAAUUUUAGGUGAUGCAUCUAGGAAUUAUAAACUAAAGAAUAUCCAUUUUAAUAUGCUUUCGUCAUUUUAUGGUAUUGCCUAGUGAGGAUGCAUUGACAUUCAUUAUAGAGUUUUAUGCUAUAGUUCAUACAUUCCCAUUACCUCGACUCAAUGAGGACCAAUUAAAGAUGAGAUGUUUUCCUUACUCAUUAAAAGACAAAGCAAAGGCUAGGUUAAUGACUUUACCUCCUAAUUUUUUAAGAACUUGGAAUAAAGUUUAUAAAAAAUUUAUGAGUAAAUUUUACUCAUGUCAAAAGACUAGAAAAUUAAGGGCUGAAAUUUUUAACUUUUAUCAAAAGGAUAUUGAAUCCUUUCAUGAAGCAUGAGAUCGAUUCAAAUCACUUUUACAACAAUGUCCACACCAUGGAUACCCACUUUCUAUGACCAACCAAUCGCUCUAUGGUAGUCUAACACAAUAAUAUUAAUGUAUGGUUGAUAAUUCAGCUGGGGGUGCUAUGGUAGAAAGAACUGUUGAUUAGAUUUAUGACAUCUUUGAGGUGUUAUGAGCCAAUUGACAAUAAAAGAGUCUAAGAACAAAAAGAGUAGGAGUGAAUGAAGUUGUGUCUAAUAAUGGGAUGGCUAUGCAAAUAGCUGAAUUAACUAAACAAGUUAGGAUUCUUGCUUCAACUGAGAAUGUACAAAGCAAUAAGGUAUAUGGUAUAUGUGGUGUUUAUGGUCACGUUGCUAACGUUUGUUCGUCUUAUGAGACUUGUGCAGGAGAUGAUUAUGUACAUGUUAAUUUCAUAGAAUUUUAUCAUCCUAGGCAACCUAGAAAUAACCCAUACUCCAAAACUUAUAAUCCAGGAUGGAUGAAUUAUCCAAAUUUCUCCUAGAGAAAUAACGAUCAUAAUCAACCACAAAUACUGAGAAAUCAAAACCAGUCCCAGUAUCAGAAUCAAGAGCCUCAAUACCCAAGGAAUCAAAACCCUCAAUUCCCCAUCAAGGACAAGCCCUUCAAAGAAAACCAAGUUUGGAAGAAAACUCGAAUCUUGUAUGACAGCUACCCAUGAUAGAAUGGAAAGGAAUGGGAAGAAAACUAAUUCCAUAAAAGCUUCAAUGAAGUGAUUAAAAAUUCAAGUUAGGUAAAUUGAUGAAGCCGUAUGAGAAAAUAAGAAAGAGAAAUUGCCAAGUCAACUUGAGCAAGCUAAAAAGCAAUCGCUGUUCUUAAUGAUGGUGAGUUAUUUGAUAAUGUUGAAAAUUAAUUGAGAAAAAUAUUCUUACUCAGGUACAUCAAAAGAAGAUAGACUAGUUAAUGUAGAAAUAAUUGAAGGAGGCUUAUAAAAAGAAGAAAGAGUAUAGCCAAAUCUUAGGUAAAAAGAGAAAGACAAUAAGACUUUUUAGGACCUAAGUUUCAUAAAGCAGCUGAACCUUAUAAACCUCCUAUUCCGUUUCCAAACAGAUUGAAAGAAAGAAAACAGGAUAAACAAUUUUCUGAGAUUUUUGAUAUGUUUUCUAAGGUUAACAUUAAUUUACCCUUGUUGGAUGUGAUUAGGAAUAUUGCUAGCUUAAGCAAAAAAUUUUUAAGGAACUUAAUUCCAACAAGAGGAGAUAUGGGAACAAUGAAAAAAGUUAUGGCAUCUAAAAUAGCAAGUGUAAUUCUCCAACAAUAAUUACCUCCUAAGAUGAAAGACUUUGUGAGCUUUACUACUGAUAUUACAAUGGGAGAUAAAAAAGUUGCUAAAGCCAUGUUGGAUUUGGGAGCAAGCAUCAAUUUGAUGCCAUAUUCAAUAUGUGCACAACUUAGUUUAGGAGAAUUGAAGCCAACUACUAUGUCUCUGUAACUGGCUGAUAGGUCAAUUAAGUAUCCAAGAGGCAUAGUGGAAGAUUUGCUGAUUCAGGUAGGAAAACCGAUAAUCCCUACUGACUUUGUGGUUCUUGACAUGGAAGGUACAUCGGCAAGGGAUAAGGAGCAAACAAUACUCCUUGGUAGACCUUUCAUGGCAACUACUAAGACAGUUAUUAACGUGCACAAUAGGAAGCUGACUAUGACAGUUUUGGUAGAGAUUGUAGAAUUUAAAGUGUUUAAUUCUUUAACUAUAUCUCCUAACACUUCAAUUGAUGAGUUCAUAUGUUGAUUGUAUAGAUUAUUUUAUUUAUAAAACAUAUUUACAGGAUAAGAAUGAUAAGUUAGAAGUCGUAUUAACAUUAGAAAAGCAUGAAGAAAAUUUAAAUAAAGAAGUCUUAGACUUACAUGAUAGUUAGAUGAAGCUAUUCUAUUGUUACCUGAUGAAAAUACUAUCGAACCUUUAGAUUCACCCAUUGGAAUCAAAUCAGAAACUACUAAUAGACCACCUAAAGUUGAGCUUAAGGAGUUGCCUAACAUACUCAAAUAUGUCUUCUUAGGAGAAAGGAGUAUGUAACCAGUGAUCAUAGCCUCUGAUCUUUCUCCUUCAGAGGAAGAGGCAACUAUUAGAGAAUUGAAAAGACCUAAAAAAAACUAUUGGGUGAGAAAUUUCUGAUAUUAAGGGGAUUAGUCCAACAAUGUGUAUGCAUAAAAUUAUUUUAGCAAACAAUUCUAAAGCUGUUAGAGAUACACAACGAUGACUUAAUCAUAACAUGAAAGAAGUUAUAAGAAAAAAAAAAUCAGAAGUUAUUGGAUGAGGGUAUUAUAUACCCUAUAGCUGAUAGUAAUUGGGUAAGCCAUGUUCAUGUAGUGCCUAAAAAGUCAGACACAACAGCUGUUAAAAAUGAAAAGGAGGAAUUAGUCCCCACAAGAAUGACAACAGGAUGGAGAAUGUGUAUUGAUUAUAGAAAUUUAAAUGUUGCAACAAAGAAUGAUCAUUUUCCUCUUCCUUUUAUUGAUCAAAUAUUAGAGCGUUUAGCAAGAUAUGAAUUUUAUUGUUUUCUUGAUGGACUUUCAAGAUAUUAUUAGGUACGCAUUGCAUCUGAAGAUAAAAAAAAAAAAAAAAGACAACUUUCACAUGUCCCUUUGGAACUUUUGCAUUUAGGAGGAUGCAUUUUGGGCUUUGCAAAGCUCCAGCAACAUUCCAAAGAUGUAUGCUUUCUAUUUUCUCUGACAUGUUGAAGAUAAUAUCGAGGUAUUUAUGGAUGAUUUUUCAGUUUUUGAUUCCUCAUUUGAUGCAUGUCUAAGCAAUCUGAUUCGUAUUCUCGAGGUCUAAUUCACUCUUCCACUGCUGUAAACGAGUCAAAACAACAAGCAUAGAAACAAUAAUUAAGAAAUCGAGCCAUGAAAAAGAUUCAACAAAAAUUUAUUUUAGCCAUCUAACUAAUGAUUUAAGAUAAAUAUUAAAUUUUAAUAGAGCUCUUUUACUUUUCAGACCAUAAAUUAUAUAUUAAAGAAAAUAAAUAAAUAAGAUAAAAAGUAAUUUUGUAAUUUUAGUAAAAACUGAUGGCAAUAUAACUAAAAAUUAGACGAAAAUACCUUCUAGCAUAAUAUGAAAAAAGAGAGAUUUUAAAAAUUGAGGUCUUGAUUAACGUAAUAUUAUAAACCCCAAGAAAAAAUUAGUAUUAGAGAUAAAUUAGAUUGGAGGUACUAAAUUAUGCAUUUUGUAACAAAAAUUUAUUAAAUUUUUAAUAUAACUAGAUGGUCACUAAACUUUAAUUUUAAUAACAUUGAUAAUUUUUUCAAAAAGUGUGAGGAUUACAUUAGCAGUUACCAAACUUUACACUUUCUAACAAAAAAAUAUUAAAAUUUUAAUUUUAAAAGAUACAUGACCGGUGCUUUUCUUGUAACAAAUUAAAGGUUUAAUAUAUUUUUGUUACAAAAUGCAAAAUUUAGUGACUGUCCAUAUAAAUUUACUAUCUAAUUGCGACGAAGAAUUCUACUAGUGUUACUAAAAUUAAAAUUUAGCAACUAUUUAAUUAUAAAUCAAAUAUUCACUAUAUUUUUAAUACAAAAUGUAAAGUGUAAUAAUCGCCAAUGUAAUUUACUGAUAACAUUACCCAAAAUAUUUAUUUGUAUACCAAAUGAAAGAAACUGCAACUUAAAAUCGAUAAUAUUUCUUAUACAUCAGUUAUGGUAAAAACAUCGCAUUUAACAUCAUCCCUUUGCAAGGUUGGUUUCAGUAGAUUUCUUAAUUAAUCACAAUUUUUUCACAAACCAAGACUUUAUUAAAGCAGAAUUUGGGUAAGGUACCCAGUAGAAAAACUGACCAACCAUAUCAACAAAAAAUGGAAAAUGAAUCGCUACAAGAACAAAAAUAAUAUAAAACAUAAAACGCACGCGAUAAAGUCACUCUCUUGUAACAGUUGCCUUUGCCGAGUUGUCUGCAUAUUUUCAAUACUUAUAAAUUAGUCUAAUAUGUUUAAUUUGGAAGCAUGCAUGUGAUUAUGCCGGGUACAAAUUUGCAGGCAAACGUGGCUUUGCGAGUGCAACUAAUGGUUUGGCAAGUUCCAAACUAUUCUUAGACUCUGAAAGAUCAAUGCUUGUCUCAUUAGGGGGCACGCUCCAGCUAAACCCUUGAAGAAGCCUAGCAAAUAACAUAACAGUCAUUGCAGUUCCCAACAUGAUGCCUGGACAACCUCUUCGUCCUGUACUAAAUGAAAGCAAGUUCAAAUCAGGCUGCGUCAGCAUCACUUGACAUCCACUUUUCUUGAAAUGACGCUCUGGUUUGAACAUGUGUGGUUCAUCCCAAAUCCGGGGAUUCCGGCCGAGGCCGACUCGGCUAAGCAAGACAUGGCUACCUUUCGGAAUAAAAUAGUUAGCAACAGUUGUAUCUGCUAUGGAGACAUGAGGAAGAUUGAAGAAGACAAUAGGGUGGAGGCGAAACGCUUCUUUAGCACAUGCUUUUAUGUAAUUGAGCUGUGGAAAAUCUGCCUCUUGGACUAGUCUCUCCCUUCCAACAACUCUAUCCAAUUCUUCUACUGCGUUCUCAAGAAGUUUCGGUUUGUUUAUCAUCUCUGCAAGUGCCCAUUCUAUAGCAUUUGAUGGAUUAUCCACUGCUGCCAGCAUUAUUUCCUGCAAAAAUUGAUAGGUGAUAUUUAGCUUUGUUGAAAUCAGUUGGUGGGAACUAUAGUAAUUAAAAUGGAAGAUGCAAUAAAUUUGAAUCUUAACCAACAUAUUGCCGAACUGAAAAUGAUGAACUGAGCUUCUUGCAAGAAAAGAACAUGCAAAUGGAAUUUUCCUUAAUUCCAUUUCAACAAUCAGGCAGAAAAAAUGUUAUAUUUGAGAUAUGUUGUAUAUGUUGGACAACUUUUAUGGGGGAGAAGAAGUAGAUAAACAUAAUAAACUAUUUCUAUAAUUAAAGUACACAAGACACUUUAUCUCUUAACAAGAGAUAGCUUUCCACCCCUAUCUCUUAACAAGAGAUAACUAUUUCUAUUGUAAGUUAUUUAUAAUAGCACUUGUAUAAUUUUUCACUUACAAAUUUAACUAGUGAUAUUCAUAGCACUUAAUAAUCUAACCUUUCAUAUACUUAGAGCUUUAGCAUAACUAUAGACUCUCUUUAACAACUAAUCACUCUUAAAACAAUAGUAGCAAAUAUUGAAGUUUACAUUCAAUAGUAUGCAUCUGAGAUAGAGUGAGAGAGACAGAGCUUACAGUAAUCUGAGCUUUAAUCUCUUCCAUUGACAGCAACGAGUUGCCAUUGGCAUCUUCUAAAUGUAUGAAAACGUCAAGCAAGUCAUCCACUUCCUUCUUAGUGCCAUCCCUCCAUUGUUCGAUCCUCGCUUCAAUUAUGGGAUCUUGAUAUUUUUUUAUGAUCCCAAUAGCAUCCUUCAUGAUCUUCUCAUGACCAUCCAAGUCAAGCCCUAUCAAGCAUGGCAUAUAAUCAGACACACUAAAUGCAUAGGUAUGAGCAAGGGCUGUUAAAAUCGCAUCAACAUGCUCUUUUUCCUCGACACCAGGCCCUCCGUCCUUCAUUCCCUCCCCGAAGAACCUUUUGUUAAACACCAUCUUCCUUAUUACAUUUCCACAAUAGUGCCGUCCAGUGAUUCUCACGUCAACUGAUCCACCUUCCUCGGCAGUCUUGCAUUGGUUAUACACAUAACGAACAAGGUGAUCAGCUUCUUCAAGUCUUUUUCCGUAAAACCACUUAUAUUUUUCCGCAGAAAGAACUUGCGUUACCAGCACUCUCUUCAUUUUCUUCCAUUGUUCUCCUAAGGGCACAAGANNNNNNNNNNNNNNNNNNNNNNNNNNNNNNNNNNNNNNNNNNNNNNNNNNNNNNNNNNNNNNNNNNNNNNNNNNNNNNNNNNNNNNNNNNNNNNNNNNNNNNNNNNNNNNNNNNNNNNNNNNNNNNNNNNNNNNNNNNNNNNNNNNNNNNNNNNNNNNNNNNNNNNNNNNNNNNNNGUUCAUUUCUUUCAUGAGCUUGUGUAUCCAUCGAAAGGUCGGCUUAUUGCUAGCAUCGUUGGCAGGCAUCCGACAAGAGGCCAAGGUUUUGGGCCAGGAGGUAGUAGGAGUUGCUUGGCCUUUUGGCUUUCUAGCUUUUGGAAUUUCGUCAAGUAAAUUAAGGCCAACGCCAAGAGAAGAACUAGGGAACAGGAGCUCAACAAUGUUCUGAGAAAGCCAAUGCCAAUUCCGGAAAAAUCUGGAGUGCCAUGAAGAGAAGCUAGCCCAGUGCAAGAUAUUACAGAGGUAGCGUUCUGCAUGGCCACAAAACUGUCCAUCGACAUGCUGCUUCUAUUUAAUAGAACUGGAAAGCCUGCAUACUUUGCAGGAUGCUUUUCUAGCAAACUCUCAGCUCUUUUAUCUCAUUUGCUUUUUUCUUUUCCUUCUUUUUUUGUUUACACAAUGUAAUAAUUAACUCUAUAACCUCUCCCAUUUAUAGGGCUGAAUCCAAAAUCUACGAUGUAAUUCAAUAUAGCAAUGCAAUAGAACGAUUUGUUACAUCUGAAUAAUACAGGACGCGUGAUCCGUAUUUAUACUUGUAUCUUAAUAACUCUACUGUAUAUACCAUAUAUUUGAGCUUUUAUUUAUACAUUUAUCCAAAUCAUAUAUUAACUAUAUAUUAAAUCUUCUUCUAUUCAUUUAUACAAACCAUUUACACAUUAUGGAAUUCAAGUUUAGUUUGGCCACACAACAUAUAUUAUUAUUAUUUAAGGUAUCAUUUUUAUUUUCUUUUGAUUUCAUAACUAACCUCGUUUAUGCAUUCAUAUAUAUAUACAUGUCUAAAAUAAUAUUUCAUAACUAUUCUUGUAAUCUGAUCGCGUUUGAUAAGCGAUUAUAAAAAAAAUUAAAAUUAAGAUAAAACGAGCUAAAGAUAUGAAAAAGUAACUGAUGAGAUGAAAUACAAGGGCUUUGCAGUGGCAACUUUUAAGUCUCGAAAUUUUUUACCUAAAUUUAGUGUAGGUACUCGCCUAUAUAUUAAAAUAAUAAAUAAUAUUUAUUAAUUUUAAAUGAUAAAAUAUAUGCCGAUUAUUUAAUACUAAAGUAUAAAACACUGAUACAUGUAUAUCACUUUUCUGUUAAGUAUAGUGUAUACAUCAAGUCUAAAUAAAAAUUUUUAGUCUUUUCAUAUUAUUUCCGUAACAGUUUAUGGCCGAUAGAGUUUCGUGUUGUUAUACUAUACAGUCCCAUAAAAAAGAUAAAAAAAAAUAAAUAGUUAGAUGCUGUUUGAACAAAGCCGUUACACGCUGAUGUCACCCAACUAUCUAAUUUGGCUCCUUCGUCAACCACCCACAACCACUGUCCACCUUCAUUGUUGCUAGGGCUAAGUUUGCCAGCAACUCUUCUGCUCCCAACUAGUGUCCUGGCCUCCCUCUCUCUCUCUCUCCUAACCUUCCUUCCUCCCCCUACCCGUUUCCUUUUUAUUCUUCUCCCUUUUCGUUUUUUACUCACCCCUAGUUAUUUACCCUUAAACCCCUAACUUGUAUUUAUCCUUUCAAUUAAGCCACUAAUUUGUUAAAUUUGGGCUAAAUUAGUUACAAUUAUUAAAACAUGAAAAAUAUUUUGAUUUAGUGUGACACCUUUACAUCUAAAUCCCAUAUUUAAAUCAAACUUUUAUUUUAACCCCGUUUUAUAUAAAUAAAUAUUAGUUUAAUCCAAGUACUUAGUUAAUUUACUGGAUCAAAUUCAUUAAAAUCUAAAUACUCAAAUAAUUACUAUUGUUAUAGCACUGUAAAUACCAAAAUUAAAUCCUUUAUUAAGUCCCAUUAUAUUAUUUAUUUAAAUAAUACACCUUACCUAAAUCAAAUAAAUAAAUUCCAUAAAUAUCUCAUUAUUAUUAAUACUAAAGAUAAACAAUUAAAUAGCACUUUAAUUUUAGGUUACUAAUAGGUUGAUAUUAUGUAUAUAUAAUUAAGGCUUUUAGUGAUUUAUUGGUAUGUUUUAUAUACAUAAUAUGUAAAAAUAUGUACUUAUUAUCUCACUUUAUUUUUAUUAGCUAAUUUCAGAUCAUAAUAACCAAAGAGAGAAAAUAUGAGCCAAGAAUGUAUAAAUAGACUUUAAUUGGAUUGCAGCUGUAAAAGGCUCGGAAUAAAGGCUUAGCUGAGUUUAUCAAGGCCUACGAAAGAAAAAUUAAUUAGUUAUAAUGUAAUUAACAUAAAUUAUCUUUUUUAAGUUGUUUAUUUUAUUUAGGGUAGUUAAGAGAUAACUAUUGCGGUAUUAUGCUUAGAGAAGGACUCUGAAUAAGGAAUCUCUACAAGAAAUAGAGCAGUUAAACAAGGAGAGCAUCAUUCUAUUAUUCUUCUCUCUGUGAAUUUCCUAUAGUCCGCCUUCUAUAACAUUUAGUUAGUUUUGAUCAGAGAAGUUUUUCAGGACGUGGAGAAUGAGGGUCAAUCUUCUUCAUUUCCUGAAGAAUUUUUGGAUUUUAAGAGAGCUUUAAUUUUUAUUUUAUAUUUCUUAUUUCUUUUUAUUUAAUUACAAUGACCUUUGGGUUAAAUAUGUCAGGUUAAGUUCAAUAAGUGUUUAGUUUGGCUUUUUACUUAUGUAUGUACCUUAUAUAUUAUGAGUUUAAUAAAUUAUUUCUUUAUCUUCAUACAUAUAUUAGUUUCAUCUAUUAUUGUUAAUUGACCAUUAUAUCAAUUUAAUAGUAAUAUGUGUUAUGAAAAUCUUUAGGUUAAAAGUAUUAGAUACAUCAUCUUUACUUUAAUCUAUGUUGGUAUAAGAAAUCUACAUUAAAUAUUUCAUUUGCAUUUUUAUUUUGUAGUUUAUUUAAUUUCUUUCGUAAACCUUCAAAAUAUUCUCAAAACAUUGCCUUAGAGUGUUUAGAUUUAUUUUUAUAUUAUAGUUGGUCUUUAUAAUAUAUGCUCUACAGUUUCUUGUGAGAUUGACCUCAUGGUAAACUUGCCCGUACUAUCAUUCGGUUCGUACAUUUGCGAGUACUAAGCUUGAGAAAUCAAGUUUUUGGCAUUGUUGCCGGGAAACUAGGUCAAUAUUAUAUUGAUUAAUUAUCGAGUUAUAUUUCUUGUGUUUUUGUGUGUUGCAUGUUUAUGUGUUUUUGUUUUGUCUUUAAAUUUUUCUUUUUAAGUUUUUAAAAUUUGAAAUUUUUCCUUUGGUUUUGUAUACCUAGCAGAAAAAUAAGAUCAGGUGAUUCAUCAACUCAAAAUUCCUAAAACUUGAGAUCAGCUGUUAAAAAGGCGGAAAGAGACCAAGAAGUUGAGAGUGAGUUUAUACCUUCAAGAGAAAAAUAAUUUGAAGAAAAGUUAGAAUAAGGAUUUGAAGAAGAGAUUGAAAUAAUAGCUAAUGACCAAAGAAAAGUUGCAGCUCAAAGGCAAAUGGCUAUGAAAGAUUAUGCUCGUCCCAUAAUUGGUAACGCUACUUCAUGCAUAGUUCUAGGUGAUGCAUCUAGGAAUUAUAAACUUAAAAAUAUUCAUUUUAAUAUGCUUUCUUCAUUCUAUAGUAUGCCAAGUGAAGAUGCAAAUUUAUUUGGCGAUUUUAUGCUAUAGUUCAUAUAUUUCCAUUAUCUCGAUUAAAUGAAAACCAACUAAGGAUGAGAUGUUUUUCUUAAAUUAUAAUAUUUAAUUGAAUAUAGUGUUAUAAUAUUAUAUUAUAUUAACAUAUUGAAUUAUAUUAAAAUAUUGAAUCAUACUAAAAUUUUAAUAUUGAAUUAUAUUAAAAUAAAAAUAAAACAAAAAUAUUCAAUUAUAUAAUUAUUAUUUUCUUAGAAUUAUUUAAUAUUCAAUAUAGAAUUAUUUAAUAUAUAAUAUAAUUUUAAUUUUAAUUAUUUAAUUAUUUAAUAUAUCCCAUUAUCUCGACUAAAUAAAAACCAGCUAAGGAUGAGAUGUUUUCCUUACUCAUUAAAAGAGAAAGCAAAGGCUUGGUUAAUCAGCUUGCCUUCUAAUUCUUUGAGAACUUGGGAUGAAGUUUAACAAAAAUUUAUAAGUAAAUUCUACUCAUAUCAAAAGAUUAAAGAAUUAAGGGCUGAAAUUUACAACUUUUAUCAAAAAGAUAUUGAAUCCUUUCAUAAAGCAUGAUAUCGCUCCAAAUCAUUUUUAAUGUAAUGCCCACACCAUGGAUACCCACUUCCUGUGACCAACUAAUCAUUCUAUGAUGGUUUAACACAACAAUAUCAAUAUAUGGUUGACAAUGCAGUUGAUGGUGCUAUGUUAGAAAAAAAUUGUUGAUGCGGGUUAUGAUAUUUUUGAGAUGUUAGAAGCCAAUUGACAACAGAAGAGUGUAAGAAUAAAAAAAGUAUGAGUGAAUGAAGUUGUGUCUAAUAAUGAGAUGCUUAUGUAAUAGCUGAAUUAACAAAAAAGUUAAAAUACUUACUUCAACUAGGAAUGUACCAAGCAAUAAAGUAUCUAGUAUAUGUGGUGUUUAUGGUCAUGGUGCUAAAGUUUACUUAUCUUAUGAGAUUUAUGCAGGAAAUGAUUAUGAACAGGUUAAUUUGAUGGAAUGUUAUCAACCUAGGAAUAGUCCAUACUCCAGCACUUACAAUCCAGGAUGGAGGAACCAUCCAAAUUUUUUCUAGAGAAAUAAUGAUUAAAAUCUACCACAAAUAACUUAGGUUGCAUCAUUAGCUUGAGUGACUUAAAGAAAAAGGCACAUCACUAUCUCAUUCAUUAGAUUUAGACUUAAAGGGAAAUAAGGGGAUUACUAAGUAUAACUAAAUGUUAAUUUAUCAUAUAAUUUACAUUAAACAUUUCAUUUGUAUAUUUAUUUUCUAAUUUAUUUAAUUUCUUUUAUAAACCUUCAAAACUUUUCAAAAUAUUAACUUAGAGUGAUUAGAUUUAUUUUAAAGUAUUUUUAUGUGAUAGUUGGUCUUUAUAAUAUAUGCUUUACAAUUUCUUGUGAGAUCGAUCUCGUAGUAAAUUUGUCUAUACUAUCAUUCAAAUCGUACACUUACAAAUACUAAAUUUGAGACAUCAGUCACUUUAUUCAAAAUAAUAAAUCAUAUGCCCAUUACUUGAAUAUAUCAGAUGUGUAUUACUUGAUUAGUUUGAGAUUAUUAUUAUUAUUAUUCCUCUAAUUUGUAUGUACUAAUUUAUUAUUUAUUUUCAAAUAUUAAAUUGUAUAAAAUAUCUAGAUAUUAAGUUGUAGAAAACUCGAGAUGUCAAAUACUAUAUGAGUUACAUUUAUAAAUUUAACAUGAAUGAUAAAUAUAUGUUUCAGUAAAAAUAACAAUUAAGUUUGAACUUUCCUCCAUGUUUGUCAUGAAAAACUGUACACUUGCAAUGGGAAAAAUAAUAUUAUGUGAUUCUUAAGGAUUUAAGGCUUAGUUAUCAAGAAUCAAGAGGCUUGAUCUUGGUCUUGUCCUCUACUGAUCAAUCAUUCACCCCAAUUUAAGCACUUUGCACGUUGUUAUUUCGAAGAAAGAAAAAUUGUACGAUUUUAUGCAAGAAUUUACAACCAGGUAUUUAAGAUCCAUUGAGAUAACAGUCUGCCCCACCGAGCAAUAUUGAGAUAACAGUACACAAUAAGCUUUAUGCGUAUUCAAUAUUGUCCAGAAGACAAUAUAUUUUUUCUGGCACCUCAUAUUUAAAGUGUAAUAUCUUAGAUCACAUAAAUAAAUAUAGAGAAAAUUAUAUUUAUAUAUAAAAAACUGUAACACCCGGAAUUUUUUUUAUAUUUAAUAAUAAAUUUUUAUUUAAGUUAAUUUUAGCUUUAUUUUUAUUCGGUUUAAUUGGAAUGAUUUAAAUACAAAUUUUGAAUGUUCAUGUUAGAUAAAUAAAUGAGUUAUUUUCUAUACCCAAUUAGUUUGAUUUUUAAGAAAUUAUUCAAGUAAAUUAUUUGAGAAAUGAUUAUAUUUUGGUUAUUCAAAAUUUUCCCAAAUGCAUAUUUAUAUAAGUAAAAUUAUAUAUUGGAAAAUUAUGGUAGAAUUGUAAAGGAUGUUUAUAAAAGAAUUUUGAAAAAAUUGGUAUUAUAAUUGAUUAGUAGUAUUAAAUAUUAAGUUGGAAAUUGAUUAUUUAAUUUAAUUGUGUGUAAGGACUAAAUUGAAAAUUUAUUUUGGAAUAAGGAUUGAAAGUAUAAUGUUAUUUUUAUGGGGUUUUAAUGGAAAUUUGUGAGCUUGGUAUUUUUGUAAAUAAAUAUGUCGGUAGGGGUAUUUUUGUAAUUGUGUAUUUUCAAUAAUUCGGUUUUGGCCCAAAUUAAAUAGUUAGGGGCUUAAUUGAAAGGCUAAAAAGAAGUUUGGGGGUUAAAUUGGAAUUCUGCGGGAUGAAAUUGUAAGUAAUUAAGAAAGUUGAGGGACCAAGUUGUAAUAAGGAAACGUUCGAGGGCCUAAUGUCGAUAUUGAAAGAAAGAAAAGAAGGAUCGGGGAAGGAAGAGAGGAGAGAGAGAGAGAGCCGAAGAAGAAGGAGGAGCUGCGGUGGCGUGCGUCGUCGGAGUGGCUUCAGAAGUGCGCGGGCUGGCCGGCGAAGCUGCAGGCGUCAGCGGCGGCAGCGGCAGCGGCACCAGCGGGCGACGGCAGCAGCUCUCGCGCGAGGAGGAAAAUGGCCGAAGCUUCCUUGCCGCCGUGCGAGCGUUUCCGGCGUCGGUGGCUGUUGACCUUGGUGCCGAUCGACUCCUCUCGGCCUCGGCUUUGUUUUGGCGGCGGCGGCGUCGACAGUGGUGGCCGGAAUCGGAAGAUCCGGUGGAGAAAGAAAAUGGUGGCAGCUGGCGUUUUUGGGUUUUUCCGGUGAGAUCCGGCGGAGAAUGGACGAUCGGAGGGCAUAUCCCGACUCUCCUCUGCUCAAGCUUCGCGAUGGCACCGGUUUCGUGGCGAUCGGGCUUCGUUUGCGAAUCGACGGCCGUGAUCGUCCGCAAAUUUCUCCGGAUGAUCGGGUGUCAGAUCGAAAAAUCGGAAGCGGGAAUCGUCAUCAGCGCGUCGUUGUGAGUCCGAUGGUGUGUCCAGAUCGUUGAUCGGACUCCGGCGGCCGGAGGCGAGUCGAUCGAGCGUCUCGGUAAUUUUCUCUGGCCGUUGAUCUUAGAAAUCCUUGAUUUUAAAUUUGUGUCUAUUGGAUGGUAUUGUGUACUUGAUGAUUUUUAUGAGUCAAAAAUAAUUGUCUGUCAGUUGGCCUGCCAUAGUCGUAUUUUGUGCUGUGUGGCGGAGUCGGGAAAUAGUGAAGUUUGGGGACCCGACUCCCAUUAUUUUAAUUGUUGGAUAUUUAGAGUGUUUUUCUGGCAGGUUCUGGACCCGUUUUUACGGGGGGUAAUGCUCGUGUUGUAGGGGAGGUUCUGCCGAAUUUUCGGUAGUUCCUGAGUCGAGAUUCUUAGACAGUCAGUCCUAGGAAUCUAGACCUAGGAUCUAUUGUAAUUGUUUCAUCGUUUUGAUAAAUUGUUUUCCGUGACUAGAUUGUCAGUUCGUUUGGCUCGCUCCAACUGAGGCACCGGAGCAGAGCUAGGAGGUCGCCCAAUCCUGUGAGUUAAAGUCAUUUAAUCAUUGCACUAUUGCUAAGUCUGAUUUAAUAUGCUAUUUUGAAAGUUUAUGCAUAAUAUGAUUAUUAGUAUCGCAAAAUAAAUGAUUUCACUUGAUUAUUAAUAUUUAUAAUAAUAUAAAUAUUAUUAUUAGUAUGUUAUAAUAAGAUAAACGUUAUUAUUUUUCCCCUCACAAAUUGCACGUUGUUUUACCUUAAAUCUUUAAUCUUUAUUUCGAUAUGUGUUGGUUGAGUUCAUUAGAUAAUGAUAUUUAUUAUAUGUGAUGAUUGCGAAUUGGGAAAUGUGGCUUGUAGAACAUGCCGCCUGAUGGGUUACAUCAGGACCGCGUGCGCACCGGUAAUGAUUAUGGACAUAAGGUUAUUAUGGAUUUGUUUGCCCUGAUCGAGCAUUGCUCUCUGGGCUGAGUUCAGUGAUGNNNNNNNNNNNNNNNNNNNNNNNNNNNNNNNNNNNNNNNNNNNNNNNNNNNNNNNNNNNNNNNNNNNNNNNNNNNNNNNNNNNNNNNNNNNNNNNNNNNNNNNNNNNNNNNNNNNNNNNNNNNNNNNNNNNNNNNNNNNNNNNNNNNNNNNNNNNNNNNNNNNNNNNNNNNNNNNNNNNNNNNNNNNNNNNNNNNNNNNNNNNNNNNNNNNNNNNNNNNNNNNNNNNNNNNNNNNNNNNNNNNNNNNNNNNNNNNNNNNNNNNNNNUAGUAGGGUAUGAUUAUAGUAUGGUUUGAUAUACUGAUUUGAAUAAUCUAUGUUUUCUGAGAAGAAGCAAUAGUCUCUAGAUUAUUUGAUUUUAACUCACUCUCGAGACUGACAGUCUCCAUUUAUGUUUUUUUCAGAUUCGUGACUGUUAGUUCUCCCGCGACUCUUAUUCAGUAACCCGACUCCUUCAUCAUCGGGUGAUGUAUUUGAUUUGGUAUGUAAAUUGGUAAAUCUUAGAUCCUCCGCAGUAGUAAUAGUAGAUGUAUCAGUUGUAAAUUUUCUGAGUUUCAGGUCUCGCCUAGUUCUUCUGGCAGACCGAUUAAAUUAUGUAAAGUGUAGCAUUUAAGAUAAAUUGUGGCUUUAAUAAUAUUAAUUUGAGAUGAGAUUUGUUUAAAUCAGUGAGUGUCAGGCUUACUACGGGUUUCGGUGGCCUUAAGCCUACCCAUUCCCUAGUGCCGGUCACGGGCCCACGGGUGGGGUCAUGACAAAGUUGGUAUCAGAGCUUAGGUUUAGAUUUCCUUCGACCUAAGUUAAGAUUUUUCUUGGUACUGCGGAGUUAGGAUCAAAUCUGUCUUGUUGUUUUCAUUGACUCCAGUGUCUCAGCCUUCACAGUUAGAGAGUCAGUCUUUCCUUUCUUGUGAGCUUGUCUUUGGUGCCGUGCUGAGAAUGUGCUUUGUAGCGAUGGGAGGAUCUGAAGCGCGAUAGACUCGUGUUGUUUCUUCAAGUGAUUAGUGCAGUCCGCCUUUAGAAGCUUUGAUUGUUGUUUCGAUGGUGGGCACCGCAGUCAGUUUUAGUGUAGAGCGUGAUUGCAGUCGUGUCAUGAGCUGCCUCGUCAUCGCAUCAGGCAUCGCCUUUUUGAGUAGCGCCUAAGGUAGUGCCUGGGAAGUCGAGCGGAUGUCAGAGCUUUAUGGUUGAGUUUUAUGGUUGUAAGAAGCUUAAAAAAGAUGGCAGAAGUAUUUUCGGACGCUUGGAAUCCAGAGAAACUUAAGCGAACAUUAUUUAUUUUUCUAAGUAGGACAAGUGUUUUUGAAAUACAAUAUUGCGCCUAGUCCCGUAAGAAUGCAUUAUGGCAUUUCACUGUUAGGCAUGCAUAAAUUCAUUUUAGGACAUGCAUCAUACAUUGUGCAUUGCAACCCUUGGUGAUAGGGGCAUCAUCACCCUGGCGCGCGAUAUUGUAAAAUUUUAUAUAAAGAAAUGGCUAAAGGUUUUACGAUUUUAUAAAAGUAUUUUUCCAAGAUAAUAAAGCUUUUAUCAGUGAUGAUUAUAAAGUAAGUAAAGAUGUAAUUUUUCAAAGUAAAUAGUGUUAGCUUGAGAAUUUUCUGGAUGACGAGUUGAGUUGUUGAGAGAGUGAGUAUGUGGAGCUGUAGGCCCUAUGUUAGAUUAUAAGAGAGGCUUUUGGAUUUCAGUCAAAGAGGAAUCUUGUGUCAGGAUGGCAUGAGUUGUGUCGGUUAUGGAAACUAGAUGGAUGGUAUGUCAUAAGUGAUGUGGUUUGGUAAGAAAAUAAGGUUGUGGGAACCCUUGGUUUUGUCGGCAGGUUGGUGAGGUGGCAUGUAAGUUGGACUUGCCGCCAAGUAUUAGUAAUGUUCUCUGAGGUUAAAUCCAGUUGUUCGUAGGUCUGAGUUGAGGAAGUAUAUUUUCGAUCCUUUGCUCGUGUUGGAUCCUCAGUGUAUGAAUGCAAGUAAAGAUUUGGUUUCCGAGGAGUAGUAAGUGAGGAUCGCGGAUUUUCAGGUUCGCCAGUUUUAUUUAAGGGUUUUGUCGAUGAGUCUUGUGGUUUAUUUCUGCCGAGGAAAAGUUUCCGAGAAGCCGGGUUGGAGAUGAGAGGUUCCUAAUUAGUUUCAAUCUUAGAGUGUAGCCCCUUUUCUUUUAAAAUUCGAGGUCGAAUUUUUUUUAAGGGGGGGAGAAUGUAACACCCGGAAUUUUUUUUAGAUUUAAUAAUGAAUUUUUAUUUAAGUUAAUUUUAGCUUUAUUUUUAUUCAGUUUAAUUGGAAUGAUUUAAAUACAAAUUUUGAAUGUUCAUGUUAGAUAAAUAAAUGAGUUAUUUUCUAUACCCAAUUAGUUUGAUUUUUAAGAAAUUAUUCAAGUAAAUUAUUUGAGAAAUGAUUAUAUUUUGGUUAUUCAAAAUUUUCCCAAAUGCAUAUUUAUAUAAGUAAAAUUAUAUAUUGGAAAAUUAUGGUAGAAUUGUAAAGGAUGUUUAUAAAAGAAUUUUAAAAAAAUUGGUAUUAUAAUUGAUUAGUAGUAUUAAAUAUUAAGUUGGAAAUUGAUUAUUUAAUUUAAUUGUGUGUUAGGACUAAAUUGGAAAUUUAUUUUGGAAUAAGGAUUGAAAGUAUAAUGUUAUUUUUAUGGGGUUUUAAUGGAAAUUUGUGAGCUUGGUAUUUUUAUAAAUAAAUAUGUCGGUCAGGGGUAUUUUUGUAAUUGUGUAUUUUCAAUAAUUCGGUUUUGGCCCAAAUUAAAUAGUUAGGGGCUUAAUUGAAAGGCUAAAAAGAAGUUUGGGGGUUAAAUUGGAAUUCUGCGGAAUGAAAUUGUAAGUAAUUAAGAAAGUUGAGGGACCAAGUUGUAAUAAGGAAAAGUUCGAAGGCCUAAUGUCGAUAUUGAAAGAAAGAAAAGAAGGAUCGGGGAAGGAAGAGAGGACACUUGUUAGUUUUGAUAAUAUUUUAAAUGAGUGACACAUUAAGUACACUUGUACUAUAUUAAACUGUUUGAUUAUUUCGGAGUUGAUCGGUAACUUGAACGAAGGAUCACGCAUUUGAUUCGUGAUCUAUGUAUCAGUACAAGUCUGUUAAUAUUAUCGGAUAAUCAAUCGGACUCUAAUGAUUAGUGCUGUGUCUACUAACAUAUGGUAUAUGAAUUAUAAAACUUAUAACAAGGAAUUAAAGUAUUUAAUUAUAUAUAAUUUAUUAGUUGAUAAUUGAUUAUAUGAUAAUAUGAUAUUAUUAUUAAUAUUAUUAAAAUUCCUAUUAAUUAAAUGAGUUAAAGACUAAUCAGUGGAUAAGGUGGUACAGCAAGUAGCGAAUUGGGCUCUAAUACUAUCACGAUAAAAGAAAGUGUAGUGGACGGGGCUAUAGGCUACCUUGCUGAAUUUCACACAGGAAAUGACUAGGGUACACCACGUAGGCAAUUUAUACCCUGCAUCCUGGUCCACUUUGUAUUAUGGGUCGGAGGCAGGAAAAUACGUGUGGGACUGUGUCUUGCACUUUUAAAAAAAAUUUGAAAUUACUAUAAAUAAAUUAUAUAUUAAGUAAAUAUUUUAAUAUUUAUAAAAUUAAUUUUUAUGUGUGUGUUAUACGACUGUCAUAAUUAUUUUGAACUUAAAUAAUAAUGUAAAUAUAAUAUUUCCAUGAAUAAUAAAUUAAAUAUUGUAAGUGUCAUUUUUAAUUUUUUUAUGCACAAACUUAAAUUUUAUGUUUUAAAAUAAUACAACUAUUAAAAUGUGGCAAAAUAUAGUAACACGUGUUAAAAAAAUUUAUAUCUUAAAAUCUAAUAUAUAUAUAUAUAUGUAUAGGUAAAUAAAAUUCAAAAACUAAGCAAAAUAUACUAACACGUGUUAAAAAAAUUUAUAUCUUAAAAUCUAAUAUAUAUAUAUGUAUAGGUAAAUAAAAUUCAAAAACUAACAUAAUUAGUAAUAUAUAUUUUUAAAAUUUUCAAUUAGUCAUACUUUGGAGGAUUAAAAAUCAAUAUACUUUCAGUAAAUUAUAAAAUAAAUUAUCUAUUAAAAGUAAUAUAAUAUAAUUUUUAGCAACUCUUUAUAUUCUAGAUUUUUAUAUUAUUCGUGAAUGAAACUAAUUUUUACAUAUUUCAUAAAUUAAAAUCUUUCCUCGAUACGUAAUUGAUAAUUUCAUAAUCAAAAGUAUUAUCUUUUUAUAAUUAUCAUUCAUACGACAAUACUUAUUAUUUACUGUAAUAAUGUUCAUUUUGUAUUCAAUCAAUUUUUAGAUAGUGAUUAUUUUAGUGAAGGAUAUUCAUCAUUUAUGAUCUAUAUGUUCAUUAAUUUAUUAUUGUCAAUUCAGUAAUUAUAAAUCUAUAUAUGUUUUUAAAAUAAUCGUGAAAUAUUUAUUUUCAUAUGAAAAUGAUGUUGAUUCUUUAUAAAAGUUAGAUUUAUUUUUUUAUGAUAUAUAUUAAAAUAAUUUUUUUAUUCAUAUAAGUAUUCACCGUUUAUAGAUAAUAAUAUUCAUUAAUUUAUUUAAAUGGAUAUAUAUAAUAUAUAUAUAAUAUAAAUCAUUUUUACAGUUAGUAUUUAUCCCAAAAAAACUUGUACGUCUUUGUGCAAAAAUUUACAACCAAGUAUUUAAGGGUGGCCUGAUCCUUGUGAUAACAGCCUGCCCCAAUACUAUGUAAAGUAUCUUUCAUUUUAUUGAUAAGUACAAAAAAGAAAUUAUUUUAAAACUUUUAAUAUAAAUAUAUUAAUUAGAUAAAAAGAAAAUAUAUGAUUGUAAAUUAUGAGAAAAAAUGUAUUUUAUUUUUAAAAAAAUUUAGUUUUUAAUAAUUUAAUCAUCUUUACUUUUUAACUUUGAGAUAUUUUUUUUGUCACUAUUUAUAAUUAUAUGUCUUUUUUUAUCUGAAAAAAAUCAUAUUUUAAAAAUUUUCAAAUGAUGAAACCACAUAAUACUUUUAUUUAUUUAUCCUUUUAUUUUAUUUUUUAAACUUUUUGAAAAUUACUUUUGUAAAAAGCAUGUGAAUUGAUUGAUGUUUUCUUCUAGAGCAAGUUGAGAAAAACAGUUUAUAAAAAUUAUAAAAACUAAUAUUUUAAAUCAAAAGAAAUUCUUAACGUGCUUUUUCGAUACCAAUAGUGAAACUAUACGCAUUCUAAAUGUCCUGCAUAACUUUGAUAGAUAGAAAAACGAUGAAUAAAAAUUAAUGAGAAAAUAAAUAAAUAAUAAGAUGGAACAUACAAGGGUUUUAAAUAUAUGGUGUACCAAAAAAUAUAAUUCUUAAUGAUUCAUCCACUUAUCAAAACUACAUAAAAAAUAACAUUUCAUUAUUCUUAGCCAAAUAAAAUCAUCUUCGAGCAAAAUCCAGAAGCAUGACUAAUAAAUCCAGAACUGUACAAAUAAGCUAUAUGCAUAUUCAAUAUUGUCCAAAAGACAAUAUAUUUUAUUUGACAUAUCUGAUAUUUAAGGUGUGAUAUCAUAGAUCACAUAAAUGAAUAUAUGCACCCACCUAAAGAAAAUUAUAUUUAUAUAUAAAAGAACUAAAAGUACCACACUUCAUUUCCAGUUUCUAUAGAGAAUAACUAAAUUAAAAUCACCAAUAAAUAAAUAAUUUUUAUGAGAAACACUUAGAGUAAAGAAAAUACAAUGUCACUCUCUCAAUAUGCAAGACUUUUAGCCGAAUCCUCAAUCAAACUAUAAUUUUAUACAACCUCCUAACUUUAAAUAAUUAUUUGAAUAUUUAACUCUAUAAUUCACUUAGAAAUAUAAUUUAAAAAUAAUGUGAAAUAUUUUUUGCUAACAAUCCUUANNNNNNNNNNNNNNNNNNNNNNNNNNNNNNNNNNNNNNNNNNNNNNNNNNNNNNNNNNNNNNNNNNNNNNNNNNNNNNNNNNNNNNNNNNNNNNNNNNNNNNNNNNNNNNNNNNNNNNNNNNNNNNNNNNNNNNNNNNNNNNNNNNNNNNNNNNNNNNNNNNNNNNNNNNNNNNNNNNNNNNNNNNNNNNNNNNNNNNNNNNNNNNNNNNNNNNNNNNNNNNNNNNNNNNNNNNNNNNNNNNNNNNNNNNNNNNNNNNNNNNNNNNNNNNNNNNNNNNNNNNNNNNNNNNNNNNNNNNNNNNNNNNNNNNNNNNNNNNNNNNNNNNNNNNNNNNNNNNNNNNNNNNNNNNNNNNNNNNNNNNNNNNNNNNNNNNNNNNNNNNNNNNNNNNNNNNNNNNNNNNNNNNNNNNNNNNNNNNNNNNNNNNNNNNNNUACUAAAAUUUAUAUUAACUAUGUAAACAAUUAUCUAUGUUAGUGGACUCGAUACUGGUUAUUGGAGCCUGAUCGAUUAUCUGAUGAAUCUAAUAGACUUGUAAUGAUACAUAAAUUAUGAAUCUGUAUGAUCCUUCAUUCAAGUUACCGAUCAACCCUGAAAUAGUCAAAUAGUUUUGGCUAUCAAUUUUUUAAAGAAAUUAUAUCACUAUAAAACCGGUGUGGAUAGAAAAUUUAUGAGGAGAAUUUAUUAUUCUCUAAUUACCCAAAGCACGUCAGAAAAUUCAUUGCAAAUCAAACUAGCUUUGUUUUCUGAACGAGUUGUCGAAGCCCUUCAAAAUAAAUUACUGAUUGUUCUCAACUAACUUAUAGAAAUAGUGACACCAGGUCGAAUCCUAAGGGAACCAAUGUGAAUAGUUUUUUAAAAUUAAAUAAUAAACAUAGAGGGUUUUGAAUGAUUGAACUAAAAUUAUAAGUAAAUAAAAAAAUGAUAAAAGCUGAUUAUUAAAGUAAAUAAAAAUUAAUCUUACCAAACUUCCAAUUCAAAAGUGUAAAUUCCAUCCAAUUCUAAUUCUAAUCAAAAACUUAAAUAUCAAUUUUUCUAUUCAAGUACUUAGACUAUUUAUUUGGAAAAGCCGCAACAAGUGUAAAUUCUUUUAAUAUAAUUGACUCAAACCCAGCAUCCAAAUCAAAACUUACCAUUAGUCAACCGGGCACGAAAGCGUACCAUAUCAACUCAAUGAUAGCAUUAAGAAUAAUGAGAAUGACUAAACCAACAUUAAUUAAUCGAGAUAGCUGCAAUAUAAUUAAUCUUGUUAUUUUAUUUCUCUAGAGCCUAUCAUGCAAGCUAUGUAAUUCGGAAAGACCGCAAUCACACACACACGAGCUAACUCCUUAUUAGAAAACAACCCCGUAAGAGGGGUAUAUUUGUCAAUAUGAGAAAAUAACUCCGUAAGAGGUUAUAUCUUUAAACAUGAGAAAAAAACCCCAAAAAAGUAGUAUAUUUGUCAAUAUGAGAAAAGAACCCCGUAAGAGGGGUAUAUUUGUCAAUAUUAGAAAGCAGCCCCGUAAGAGGGGUAUAUCUUUCAACAUGAUAAUACAAUCCUAAAAAAAUGGUAUAUUUUUCAAUAUGAGUAAACAACUCCGUAAGAGGGGUAUAUUUGUCAAUAUGAGAAAACAACCCUGUAAGAAGGGUAUAUUUGUCAAUAUUAGAAAACAACCCCAUAAGAGUGGUAUAUCUUUCAAAAUGAAAAAACAACCCCAUAAAAAUUGUAUAAUUGUCAAUAUGAGAAAACAACCUCGUAAGAGGGGUGUAUUUGUUAAUAUUAGAAAACAACCUUGUACGAGGGGUAUAUCUGUCAAAAUGAGAAAACAACCUCAAAAAAGUGGUAUAUUUUUCAAUAUUAGAAAACAACCCCGUAAGAGGGGUAUAUUUGUCAAUAUGAGAAAACAACCCUGCAAGAGGGGUAUAUCUUUCAACAUGAGAAAACAACCCCAAAAAAGUGGUAUAUUUUUCAAUAUGAUACUUAUAUCAAUCGUUCAUGACAAUUGUGGAUCAUAAACUCAAAGAUAGCAAUAGAAAAAUCAAUAUCAUAUUGAGUCGUCAGUUUAAUCAAUAUCAAAAAUUCAUAAACAAUAAUAAUAGAAAAAAAAAUACUUGAAUUAAAGAAGAAAUUAUAUUAAGCACAAAAUCUCACAAAAUCACAAUUGGAAUUUAUUCACUCUUGAAUGAGAAAUUAAAAGCUUAGCCACGCAUGGUGAAGUAAGAAUUCACAAGAGUUAUAGGGAAUAGAGGAAGAAAAUAAAAAAUAUAAAAGCUCAAAGUCGUUCCCUUUUGUAAAACUAGCCUCCUUAUAUAGAAAGUCAAACCUAAAUCCUAAUAAAAUAAUCUCUAUCCAUAAAGAAAUAAACUUCCUAUAUAAUUCAAAUCCCAUAUGGAAAGCUAAAAAAAAAGGGAAAUCUAAAUAAAUAAAAUCCUAAUAAUAUAGGAGACAAUCUUUUUUUAUCCAGAACUUCCAAAAUAAAGGAAAUAACAUAAAAGUGGACUCACCAUGAAUUUAACUAAAAAAAUUUAAAAUUCUCAUCAACAGAUUUCAGCAGCUCAUAGAUUGCAGGGAGUGGUCACGCCUUGUUGAAAAUGAUAUUCUGCAUAAACUUUCACUGAUCCUCCAAAAGACUUGAUUUUUGACAAGUGAUGCUUGAAAAUAUGUCUUUAAACUGAAUUCUGCUCAAUCUCUGAUAUUUCAACAUCUAGAUCAUAACAAACACAAUUUCCACAAUUAAGCACAAUAUCCAAUCAAAAUAUAAGAGAAUUAAACACAAUAAGUAUUAUUUAUGAUCUAUCAAAUUUUUCCAAACCUAAUUCAUGCUUGUCCUCAAGCAUACCUCAACUCAACAUAUCAAUUCUCCUCUCUACUUCCUUUUAAUCUCUUUAAAUAUCCCUAAAUACCAAAUAAGUUAAACAUACAUCAAUGAGUUGAAUCAUAAUGACUAUCAAGAGAAUAACACUCAUAGGAUAAAUUUUGUAACAAAAAAAAUAAGUAUCUCACUAAUCCAUCAAAAUCAAAUGCAAAAAGACUUAACACCCUAAUAUGGUUUUACAAUACUCUCAAAGUGUUUAGGGUGCAUUUACUUUCAGAAUAAAAAAAUAGCAUGUUAUUACCAUAAUCUUGCUAAUGAGUCAAGUCUCCACCACUACACAUGUAUUGGUUGCAAAAAUCAAAGGGACUUCACAAGGGUUGUAUGGGGCUUAAGAAAGGGUAUGAUAAAAGAAAAAAAUUAAAGUGUUUCAUAAUCAAGACAAAAAGUCAUUUACUUGCAUGAUAACUAUGCCACAUAACCACAAAAUACACUAUAAAAACUUUGAAUUUUAUCUCCACAUCUUAUAUUAGCACUAAAAUGUUUGGAGAAAUAACAUAUAACAAUUCAGUUCAACAUCUUUGAUAAACACUUCUCCAAUUAUCCUCUUUCAUGAAAGGAAUAAAUAUCAACUUUUUUUUUCAACAUUUUAUUUUUCUUUUUUAUUUUUUUCAUUUUUUUCGAAUUUCUUUCCAUUACUAAUUUUUUUUUCUUUUUAGCAUUUUUCUGUUUCUUUUUAUACCAUCUAACACUUUUGCAUCUUGUCUUAACAAGGAUAGAAAAAUAGAAGUAAUAAAUGAAAGGUCUUGGGCUAAACAAUAUGUGUUAAAGACAAGAAAAAAAUAAAAAAUAGGCUCAAAGUGGCUAACUAAAAGGAAAAUUAACAAAGUAGAUCUUUUAAGAGUCUAAGAAUUGCUUAAUCUAAUUGUCCUUAUCAUAUUAAAGCACCAAUCCAAAAAUGUGGUCUCAAUAUACAUUCACAAGCAAGUUCUAGAAUAAGCGCACUAAGUAUGAUAACAUUCAACAAAAACAAUUAGAGCAAAAUAUAAUAUACUGCUCUUAGGCUCAAAAGUUCACUUGAAUGUUCAAAUUUGCAUCAAAUCUUGUGCAUUUUUCAAUCAAUAAACCAAUGAGAUACCAUCAAAUAAUUUUAAAGAAACACUAAUCAUGCUUAUUCCUUUCAUGUAUUAAAAUUCAAACAAAAAAUGUAUCCCUAACUUACAUGGAAAUCUAGGUUAUAAGAAAAAAAAAGGUUCCAAAAGAAAAAUUAGCACAUAUGAAUUAAAGCACACCUAAUUCUAAGCAUAAAAAAACACAAUUUUCAAAAAUAAAAGGAAAUCAUGUAAUUAACAAAUUCUUCCCUCACACCUAAACUAUAUAUUAUCCUCAAUGUAUCAAAAAGAAAAUGGCUCACAAAAAAAAUGAAAAGAAAUAUGAAACUCUCCUGAUUUGCGAGCAACUUGGGCUGAGUAGUCUAUGGUGAUGGUGGGCAAGGAGAUAGAACCCUCCUAUGCUUUAUCAAGGCAUCCAAAUUUCUCUCAAUCAUUGAAAUUUUAUGUUCCACCUUUUCCCAAAUGAGCUUCAAAAUCUAGUUCAGUUGAAUCAUCAGAGGUCUGGAAAAAAUAAAAAUAAAAGAAAUGUUAGAAAAAAUAGGAUAGUGGGAAAAAAAGUAGAAAAUAAUAAUAAUAAAAUGUUUUUAUUUAUUUUUAUUUUUUAUUUUUUAUCAUAAAUAAAAUAUCCUAAAGAAAAUAAAGUAAAGAAGUUAAAUUCUCAAGGCUUAUUGCUCAAAACAAAAUCAGAAGGUGGUUUGAUAUAAGUCGUGGUCACGGCUUAUCAAGAACGAUCUUCUGGAAAAAGACAUUUGCUUGAUACAUCUCGAAAAGCUGUAAAAGACUGACGCCUUAUUAAAAUUAAUCUCCUGCCCAAAAAUUGAACUUCUUCAUUAAAAAAGCUAAAAACUAAAAAUAAAAUAAACUAAGUGAAACAAAAUAAAAAGUAUGAAUAAAAAUAAAGAAAACAUUUGGGUUACCUCCUAAUAGAAUAAUUGUUUAAUGUCGUUUUGCUCAGCGGAAUGAUGAAACGUUACGGUCAUCCAAAUAAGUAGGGUGAUUCAAAGGAAAACUAAUGAGACAUGGAGCAAUUUCACCCUCAUGGAAGAUCUUCAAUAUAUGACCAUUCACUUUGAAAAUUUUAUCCAAAUCUAAGCUUAUAAUUUCUAUUGCACCAUAGGGAAACACAUUAGUAACAACAAAUGGACUGAUCUAUCGAGAACGAAACUUACCAGGUAUAAGCUUCAAUCGAGAAUUAUAUAAUAAUAAUUUUUCACAAAUCUCAAAUUAUUUCCUAUUAAGUAUGUUAUCAUGGAAUAACUUGAAUUUUUCUUUAUAAAUUCUCGAAUUCUCAUAAGCAUUCAAUCGCAACUCCUCUAUUCUUGCAAUUGCAGUAGCCUUGAUAUCCCAGCUUUGUCUAUGUCCAUAUUGCACCGCCAAACUGCCCAAUAGGAUUUAUGCUUGAUUUCUACCGGUAAGUGACAUGCUUUACAAAAAAACUAACCGAUAAGGGGACAUUCCUAUAGGAGUUUUGUGAGCCGUUCAGUAAGCCCAAGGAGCAUCAUCUAAACGAAGGCUCCAAUUCUUUCUUCCUGGAUUCAUUGUUAGUUCUUUUGAGAUGAUGACAGGCAAUAUUUCACCAUCACCUAAAUAUACGUAUGGUGAUCCGGUAAAAUUUUUAGCUCCAAUUUUGGUGCCUGCACAAUUGAAGGUAAUAUCUUAUUAUUAGUAUUAGAAAUUUCAGUAUUGAAAUUUAUUGGUUCAGAUAAUGUUGUUGAAAAUAAUUCUUCUACACCAAUCUCAUAAUCAAUUCCUUUUAAAUUAGAUUGUGCAUCUAAUUUUUACUCAUCACCAACACUUUCUUUUGCAAAUACAUCCUGUAAAAUUGAAUCAAUCACAUUAAUAUGACAGAGAGGAUGUACACCAUUAGGAUAUUUCAUUGCAUCCAAAAUAUGAAAAUUAACAAUCUUUCCAUCAAACUCUAUGGAGAGAGUACCCUCAUUGUCUUAGCUAUUUUCAUGAAUGGUCAUCCUAACAAAGUUGAAGCUGAUUUUGAUGAGGAAUUACCAUCCAUUUCCAAAAUAUAAAAGUCAACAGGAAAUAUGACCUCAUUAACCUGCACCAAAACAUCUUCAACGACUCCAAGGGGAUGAAUAUAAGAACGUUCAGCUAAUUAAAUCACUACACCAGUCUUUUGUAAGUCAUUUAGUUUCAACUCUUGAUAAAUAGAAAAUGACAUGACACUAAUGGAAGCUCCUAAAUCUAACAUGGUACGCUCAAUUUUCUUUUUACCAAUAAUACAAGAUAAUGAAAAUAUACCUAGAUCCUUGCAUUUUUUUGGCAUAUUCUUUUGUAAGAUAGCCGACACAUUUUUACUUACCACCACUUUCUCCUUUUCCUUCAUCCUCCUUUUGUUUGUGCACAAUUUCUUUAAGAACUUUGUAUAUUUAGGAAUUUGCUCGACAACAUCCAAUAAUGGGAUAUUUAUUUUCACCUUCCUAAAUAUAUCUAAGAUCUCAUUUUCUUGCUCAUCUUCUUUUGGUUUAGCUAAUCUGCUAGGAAAAUGAGGUAAUGGAGUGUGAGAUAAAAGAGAUAGAGGAGGAUUGAAUUUUACCCCAUUUGAUGCUUUAGAGGAAGCUUCUUCUUCCUUUUCCUUGCUCAAUUCACUUUUCUUAAGUGGAAUCGACCCUGAAGGAAUCUCCUUUCCGCUUCUUAGUGCAAUUGCACUAACAUUCUCCUUUAGAUUUAUCUCUAGUCGUGAAGGCAGUUUUCAGAAUUUUGAACCAAUUUACUAACCGACAUAGCCAAUUGAGUAAUUUAAUUGCUAAAUUCUAAAUGCUUGACCUUGUUUCCUAUGGAAGUUGAAGAGUACUGUUAGCAAGAUUUUUAAUAAUAUCUUCCAAAGACAUACUUGAUUUUGAAGCUUGAGAUUUUUGGAAAACUUGAGGCGGUCUAAUGAAGUUAUGGGAAGUGUCCUCAUUGGUUUCCAUAGCUCAAAUUCGGGUAAUCUUUCCAUCCAGGAUUAUAUUGAUUGGAAUAAGAAUAAUACUUCCUUUGAGGUUGACCAGUAAACCCGCCUAAAGCAUUAGCCUCUUGCAUCGAGUCUUGUUACAAUGUAGGGCACAUAUCAAUGGAAUGUCAUUGAACUGAGCAUAUUCCAUAAACUUUUUCCAUUUGCAAUCGCCCUACAGUCAUUUGAUGAACCAAAGUAGUUAAAUUAGAAAUUUAAUUUUCAAGAUUUUUUAGUGCUUACCUCAUUAACUCACCUAAUAGCUCCAUCAGCUCUUGUACCAAAUUGCUAAGAAUUUUCAGCCAUGUUUGAAAUCAAUUGCUUGGCUUCUUCAUGUGCCUUGUCUACUAAAACUCCAUCACUUGUUGCAUCAAUCAUACUCCUAGCUAUUGGUAAUAAUCCUUUACAGAAGUAAUGAAUUAAGAGUUGAUCAGAAAUUUAGUGAUGGGGGAAACUAGCAUACAAUUGCUUGAACGUCUCCUAAUACUCAUACAAUGUCUCUCCAGUGAAUUGUGUUAUGCAAUAAAUUUCUUUUCUGAUGUUGGCAGCUCUUGUUACAGGAAAAAACUUAUCUAAGAACAAUCUUCUCAUCUCAUUCCAUGUUGUUAUUGAACCAGAGGGUAGAUAAUUUAUCUAAUCUUUUGCUUUAUCCUUUAAAGAAAAGGAAAAAGUUCUAAGAUUUAUUUGCUCUUCGGUCACACUAUGUGACUUCAUUCUGGAGCAUACAAUAUGGAAUUCUUUCAAGUGUCUAUGAGGAUCUUCACCUCCACAUCCAUGAAAAGAAGAGAGUAAGUGAAUUAAGCUAAAUUUUAGUUUAAGAUCAACUUCAAUAUUAGGAAAUAUAAUGCAUAAAGUUGUUGAUUCAAAUCCAGCGCGGCUGCUCUUUGAGAGUUUUAUUUGCCAUAUUUUCUACAACUUCUUAAAAAAUAGAUGUGUCACCAAUAGCCAAAUCUAUCUCUAAUUCCUCUAUGAGAUGACUUUUUCUGUCUAGUCUCAUUUCUUAAUCGACGCAUUGUCUUCUCAAUUUUAGAAUUAUAUUGCAAAUCAAUAGCCUGAGAAGAACGAGUCGUAAACAAAUACAUUAAACAAUGAGAAACUAAAAUAGCUCCCCAGUAAUGGUGGUCAAAUUUUGAAUGAGUUGUCGAAGCCCUACAAAAUAAAUUACUGAUUUUCCUAAACUAACUUGUAGAAAUAGUGAAACGAGGUCGAAUCCCUAGAAAACCAAUGUGAAUAGCUUCUCAAUGUUAAAUAAUAAAAAUAGGAGAUUUUGAAUGAUUGAACUAAAAUUAUAAAUAAACAAGAAAAUAAUAAAAGUUGAAUAUUAAAGUAAAUAAAAAUUAAUCUUACCAAACUUCCAAUUCAAGAGUGCAAAUUCCAUCCAAUUGUAAUUCUAAUCACAGGCUUAAAUAUCAAUUCUAUUCAAAUACUUAGUCUACUGAUUUGGAAAAGCCGUAAAAAUUAUAAAUUCUCCUAAUAUAAUUGACUCAAACCCCACAUCCAAAUCAAAACUUACCAUUAGUUAACUGGGCAUGAUAGCGUUUCAUAUCAACUCAAUAAUAGUAUUAAGAAUAAUGGGAAUGACUAAACCAAUAUUAAUUAAUCAAGAUAACUGUAAUGAUUUAAUCUUGUAUCUUUAUUUCCCUAGAGCCUAUCAUUCAAGCUAUUUAAUUCGGAAAGACCGCAAUUACAUACACAUGAGCCAACUUCUUGCUAUUUUUGUCAAUUGUUCAUGAUAAUUACGGAUCACAAACUCAAGGAUAGCAAUAGAAAAAUCAAAGAAGAAAUUAUGUUAAGCAAUAAAAAAAGAAAUAAAGAAUACUUGAAUUAUUGAAGAAAUUCUGUUAAGCACAACGCCACACAAAAUCACAAUUGAAAUUUAUUCACUCUUGAAUCAGAAAUUAAAAGCUUAGCCACACAUGGCGGAGUAAAAAUUCACAAGAGUUGUAGGGAAUAGAGGAAGAAAAUAAAAAAUAUAAAAGCUCAAAGGCGUGGUCACGACUUAUUAAAAUUAAUCUUCUGCCCAAAAAUUGAACUUCAUUAAAACAAACUAAAAACUAAAAAAAAAAAAUAAACUAAGUGAAAGAAAAUAAAAAGUAUAAAUGAAAAUAAAGAAGGCAUUUGGGUUGCCUUCCAAUGGCGUAAUUGUCUAACAUCAUUUUGCUCGAUACGAUAAAUCAAUUAAGAAUUUCUGAUUUCCAAUGACCAUAUCAGCAAAAAUAGGCUGAAAAAGUAUUAGAUAAUUUAAAUGGAAACAAAAAUUAACAGUAUUAGUACCAAAAAGAAAAUAACUGAACUAUUAGUCUCAGUUGGAUAUUAAGUCCAAAAAUUUGAUAUCAAUAAAAUAAUUUACCCAAAAAAAAAAACUGUACGUUUUUUUGCAAGAAUUUAAAAUAUGUAUUUAAAGGUGGCCUGAUCCAUUGAGAUAACAGCCUGCCCACCAAGCAAUACUAUCUAAAGUAUCUUUCACUUUAUUGAUAAGUAAAAAAAAUUAUUUUAAAAUUUUUAAUAUAAAUAUUAUUAAUGAGAUAAAAAAAAUAUAUAAUUGUAAAUUAUGAGGAAAAAAAAAGUAUUUUGCUUUUUAAAAUUUUAGUUUUUUAAUAAUUUAAUCAUCUUUUUUUCAGUAAGCCAUCAUUAUCAUAUUGUUUGUAUUUGAUAAUAUAAGUUUAGAGCUUAAUAGUUUAUAAUUUCAUUAUUUGACCUUUAAAUCAUAUUUAGUGAUUUGAUGAAAUGAAAUUAACAGUCAAAUAAUGAGAUUAGAAGUUAUUAAGUUCCAAAUUCUCAUUAUCAAAUACGAGCAACAUAAUAACAAUGACUGAUCAGAAGUAAAAUGGCUAAACUCUUAUGAAUUGAAACUUUUUAAAGUCGAGAUACAUUUUUUCAUCAUCAUUACUAAUCACAUAUCUCUUUGUCUGAAAAACACAUGCUAAAAAAUGUAAAAUGAUGAAACUAUAUAGUACUUUUUUUUGUAUUUAUCUGUUUACUUGACUGAAGUGUGAAGCAUAAUAAUAUGAGAUUUUAUUAGGUAAAUAGCUAUGGUUUUAAAAUUUUGGCUUAUGUUUCUAGUUAGUACCAAUACUUUAAUUAUUUUCUUUUUAAUAUCAUAACUUUAAUUUUUAUUAUAUACAAUGGUAUCCAUUGGAAAUUCGUUUAAUUUCUUAUGAUAUUGAGGGUAGAGAUCCACAUCACUAACCCAAUCUAACUCUUAAUGGUGUCAUUCUCAGUUAUUAAUUUUCUUUAGAGAUAAGUACAUAAAAGUACCUUGUGGUUUCAUCACUUGACAACUUUCAGUGUGUUAUUUUUUCCAAACAAUAAAAAAAAGAAAUACAGUUAUAAAUCACGACAAAAAAAAAUAUUUUACCAUUAAAAAGUUUCAAUUUGUAAGGAUUUAGCCAUUUUCACUCCGAUCAAUCAUCAUUAUCAUAUUUUUCAUGUUUGAUAAUAUGGGUUUAGAGUUUAACAACUCAAAACAUCAUUGUUGGAUUGUUAAAUCAAUUUAUCAUUGGAGCAAUGACUUCCUAAAUCAUGAUUUAAUGAUCAGAUUUUAAAACUAGGAGUUGUUAAACUCCAUACUCACAUUAUCAAACACACACACAAUAGGAUAUUGAUGGUCAAUCGGUGUAAAGAUGGCUUGAUCCUUACAAAUUGAGACUUUUUAACUGUGAGAUAUCUUUUCUAUCAUUAUUUAUAACUACAAGCCUCUUUUUGUUUGAAAAAGAAAAUCACAUUCUGGAAAUUGUCAAAUGAUGAAACCAUAUAAUACUUUUAUGUAAUUAUUUCUUUAUUUUAUUUUUUAAGUUUUUUGAAACUUACUUUUGUAAAAAGCAUGUAAAAGUUGAGAAAAACAGUUUAUACAAAUUAUAAGAACUAAUAUUUUAAAUCAAAAGAAAUUCUUAACGUGCUUUUUCAAUACCAAUAGCGAAAUGUCUUGCAUGACUUUGAUGGAUAAAAAAAUGAUGUAUAAAAAUAAAUAAAUAAAUAAUAAGAUGCAACAUAUAAGGGUUUUAAAUAUUGUCUAAAAAAUAAUAUAUUUUAUUUGACACCUAAUAUUUAAAAUAUGAUAUUAUAGAUCACAUUAAUAAAUAUAUGCACAUUUAUCCAUAUAGAGAAAAUUAUAUUUAUAUAUAAGAAACUAAAAGUACCACAUUUCAUUUCCAGUUUUUAUAGAGAAUAAUUAAAUUAAAAUAAUCUUUAAAUAAAUAUUUUUUAUGAGAAACACUUUAAAAAUCAUAAGUAUAUAAAUAAUAGAGUAAAGAAAAUACAAUACCACCCUCCCAAUAUGCAAGACUUUUAACCGAAUCCUCAAUCAAACUAUAAUUUUACACAACCUGCUAACUUUAAACAGUUAUUUAAACAUUUAAUUCUAUAAUUCACGUAUAAAUAUAAUUAAAAAUAAUGUUAAUAUUUGUGCUAACAAUCCUUAUCUAACCUCUAAUAUCUAUAUAAUAUAUCAUUCUUGACAAUCAUUAAUUUUUAUAAUUAACAUAAUCGAUUAUCUUAAUAACUAAUCCACCUUAUCCACUGAUUACACUUCAACUCAUUUAAUUAAUAGGAGUAUUAAAAAUAUUAAUAAUAAUAUCACAUUAUCAUAUAAUUAAUUAUCAACCAAUAAUUAUAUAUAAUUAAAUAUCUCAAUUCCUAACUAUAAGUUUUAUAAUUCAUAUACCAUAUUCUAAACUAAUUAUCAUAAUUUAAUAAUAAAAUUCAUAAUGUAGUUAAUAUUAAUUUUCCUUAUGUUCUCCAUCUGCUCAAUUAUAGAUUUAAUUCCAUUUAAUCUAUCAAAAUAACAAACAAAUUAAUUCCUUAAUAUAAGUACUAACUAAUAUAUCUUCGACAAUGUUAUAAUCUUUAAUUAAUAGUUGUCUAUUUANNNUUUAUUCUACUGGAACUUAUAUUAACUAUGUAAAAAUUAAACAAUAUACGUAUAUGUUAGCGGACUCAGUAUUGGUCGUCGGAGUCUGAUGGAUUAUCCAAUGAAUCUAAUAGACUUGUAGUGAUACAUAGAUCACGAAUCUAAUGUGAUACUUUAUUCAAGUUACUGAUGAACUCUGAAAUAGUUAAAUAGUUUUGAUUAUAAAAUUGGUAUAAAUAGAAAAUUUAUGAGGAGAAUUUAUUGUUUUCUAAUUACCUAAAGCACGUCACAAUUAGACGACAUCCGUUACAAAUCAAACUAGCUUUGUUUUCUCUUUCUACUGUAUGUCGUCAUCCCCAAUCAAAGUAGAGGCCGCCAUGGUCAUCACUUGAAAGCCCAUUACAAGAUGAGUUUAAUGCCACUAGUUCUAAUCACUGGCCAACUAAAGGAAGGAGAUCUGCUAUUUGGAAUUUUUAGUGUUCCAAACUUACUCCUCCAUACGCUGCCCACAAUCGCCAAGUGGUAACAGCAAGGUCACUCAAUGACUGUGGGCAGCAUAUGUAGUAAGUUUAGGACACUAACUUCCAACUAGUAGAUCUCCCUCCUUUAGUAGGGCCAACGACUGGAACCAGUGGCAUUGAACUCAUCUUUUCAUGGGCUUCCAAGUGAUAAUCAUGGUAGCCUUUACUUUGAUCGGAGAUGACGAGACACAGUGGAGAAAGAAAACGAAGCUAGUUUGAAUUUUAACAGAUUUCAUCCAAUUCUGACGUGCUUUGGGUAAUCAAAGAACAAUAAAUUCUCCUCUUCAUAAACUUUCUAUCUACACCAGUUUUAUAACGGUUGGACUCCUUUAAAACAUUGUUGGCCAAAACUGUUUGACUAUUUUAGAGUUGAUCGGUUACUUGAAUGAAAGAUCACACAUUUGAUUCGUAAUCUACGUAUCAUUACAAGUCUAUUAGUAUCAUCGAAUAAUCAAUCGGACUCCGACGACCAGUGCCGUGUCUACUAAUAUAUGGUAUAUGAAUUAUAAAGCUUAUAAAAAGGAAUUAAAGUAUUUAAUUAUAUAUAAUUAUUAGUUGAUAAUUGAUUAUAUGAUAAUAUGAUAUUAUUAUUAAUAUUGUUAAAGCUUCUAUUAAUUCAAUGAGUUGAAGACAAAUCAGUGGAUAAGGUGGUACACCAAGUACCGGAGUGGGCUCUAAGACUAUCAUGAUAGAAGAAAGUGCAGUGGACUCGGCUCUAGACUACCUUGCUGAAUUUAUGUGAUUCUUAAGGAUUUAAGCCAGUUAUCAAGACUUGAGAGGGAGCCAUGAGACAAUUAUCAAGGAAACCCUAGCUUAACCGCCUAACAACCUUCCCUUGUAUUUCAAAUUAUAGUUUGUAUAAGAUAUAUUACUAGAUAUUCCAGCUGUAUAUCUUAUUUUCAACAGUUGUUAUGUAAUCUACAAAUAUAUCUAGGGUUGUACUCUUUAAAAUAUCAAUAUAUACAAAAUCAUAUUUUUCUCUAAACUUAAUAUGGUAUUAGAGCAAACCAUCAUGAAUCUUAAUGGAAAUCCAUCUUUCUCUUCUUCCUCUUCUACUGCUCAACUCAAUUUUUCUAUCAGACUCACUUCUAACAAUUUUCUCUUAUGGAAAAUUCAGCUCAUGCCUCUUCUUCACUCUCAAGAUCUCAUCGACUUCAUAGAUGGUAGUUAUUCAGCUCCAUCUAAAACAAUUCUCAGCAAUGAUACUCCGCUUCGAACCAUUCUGAAUUCAGCUUACUCUAUCUGGUUUCAUGGAGACCAAAUGCUUCUGUCCUGGAUCCUCUCUUCUCUUACUGAAGAAAUUUUUCCCUACAUCAAUGGAGUUUCCUCAUCCUAUUCAGCUUGGAAAACUCUAGAAAAUGCAUUUGGUGCUGUAUCUCAAAAUAAACAGCUUCAACUUCAUAUCAAAUUAUAAGAGCUGAAGAAAAAUGAUCUCUCUAUGAAGGAUUAUUUACUAAAAGCUAAAGCAUUGGCCGAUAAAUUAACUACUGCUGGUUGUCCAAUUAAUGAAGUCGAGUUUAAUGCAAUUAUUGUCCACAAUAUUGGUGCUGAAUUUCAAGGAAUUAUAAGCACUCUCAAUACCAUAUUAAAACCAAACAAUUUUUGUAGGCUUCAUAGUCGUCUUUUUGCUCAUAAAAUUCUUCUUAAAGCUCAACAAUCAAACUAUAUGGCUAAUCUUUUCUACAAGCCCUCGAUUUUGUCUACACCAACUUUUUUUCCACCACAAUCACUGCCUCCUUCACAGAAGAAUUUUCGGCCAUCAUGGAAAAUGAAGUUUCAAAAUCGGGGUGGUGUCUACUAGUGGCUAUGCCAUUUACAUUGGAAAGUAUAUUGCAUCAUGGAGUGCCAAGAAACAACCUACAAUUGCUAGGUCAUUAACUGAAAGUGAGUAUGAGAGGUUACAAAUAGUUAUAUUUAUUGUGUUUAAUUCCCUUGCGAUUUGGUUGAAUAAUGUACCUAAUUAUGAAAAUUUUGUUUAUUCUAACUUAGGUAAUGAAAUAUGAAGGAUGGAACAAAAUCCAGCCUAAAGACAUGUUUUAAGUCAUCAUUUGUCAAAAACCAAGUCUUUUGGAGGAGAUGCUGAAAUCUGCAAAGAAGAUCACUGUCGACAAGGCGUGACCAUGUCUUACAGCCCAUGAGCUCCGCAGAAAUCUGUGUAGAAGACUACUGUCAGCAAGGCGUGACCAUGCCUUGCGUCCCAUGAGCUGCUAAAAGAUGCGAAAGAGAGCUUUGAAAUUUUUAGAAAUUAAUUUGUAGUGGACCUAUCCCUAAUUAAUUUUCUUUAUUUUUGGAAGUAUUGGAUUAAUAGAACUUUCUUCCAUGUAUUUAGAGUUUUAAUUUAUUUAGAUCACUCUUAAUCUUAUCCUUCCGUAUAGGGAUAAGAUUAAAUAGGAAGCAUAUUUCUUUUUUAUAAGGAUUCUACUAUUAGGGUUUAGAGUUUUACUUCCUAUAUAAGGACGGCUAGAUACUUUAAGUAUAUAAUUCAUAUUUUUAUUCUUCUUCUACUCUCUACAAUUCUUGUGAAUUCUUACUCCACCAUGAGUGGCUAAGUUCUUAGUUUCUAAUUCAAGUGAAAAAAUUCUAAUUGUGAUUUUGUGAGGCUUUGUGCUUAACAUAAUUCUUUUUUAAUUCAAGUAUUCUUUAUUUCUUGUUCUUAUUAUUUAUGAAUUAUUGAUAUUGAUUGAACUGACGACUCAACUUUGAUAUUGAUUUUUCUAUUGCUACACUUUGAGUUUGUAAUCCGUAAUUGUCAUGAACGAUUGACACAAGUAGCAAGGAGUUGGCUCAUGUGUGUGUGAUUAUGGCUUAUUCGAAUUACAUAGCUUGCAUGAUAUGCUCUAGGGAAAUAAAGGAAAAAAAUUAUUUCAAUUGCAGUUAUCUCAAUUAAAUUAAUGUUGGUUUAGUCAUUCUUAUUAUUCUUACUGCUAUCAUUAAGUUGAUAUGGAAUGUUAUCGUGCCCAGUUGAUUAAUGGUAAGUCUUGAUUUGGAUGUUGGGUUUGAGUCAAUUAUAUUAGGAGAAUUACACUUGUUGCGGUUUUUUCGAAUAAGUAGACUAAGUACUUGAAUAGAAGAAUUGAUAUUUUAGCCUAUAAUCAUGAUUACAAUUGGAUGGAAUUAGCACUUUUGAAUUGGAAAUUUAUUAAGAUUGAUUUUAUUUACUUUAAUAUUCAGCCUUCAUUAUUUUCUGCUUAUUUAUAAUUUUGAUUCAAACAUUCAAAAUCUCUCCUUUUUAUUUUACUUUGAGAAGCUAUCCACAUUGGUUCCCUUGGGAUUUGACUUGGUUUCACUAUUUCUACAAGUUAGUUUAGGAAAAUCAGUAAUUUAUUUUGAAGGGCUUCGACAACCCGUUCAAAUUUGGUGUCGUUGUCGGGGGAACCUAUUUUAGUUUAUCAUUGAUUAAUUUAUUUGUUUAUGACUUGUUCUUCUCAAGAUAUUGAUUUGCAGUUUAAUCCUGAAAUUGAGAAGACAGCGCGUUGAUUAAGAAAGGAGACUAGACAAAGAAAAAGUUGUCUCAUAGAGGAGUUGGAAAUAGAUUUGGCUAUUGGUGACACAUCUAUUUUUCAAGAAAUUAUAGAAAACAUGGCGAACAGAACUCUCAAAGAGCUAGCUGCAUCGGAUUUAAAUCAACAAUCUUUAUGCAUUACAUUUCCUAAUAUUGCAGUUGAUUUUGAAUUAAAAUCUGGUUUAAUUCACUUACUCCCUUUUUUUAAUGGAUGUGCAGGUAAAGAUCCUCAUAAACACAAAACUCCAUAUUGUAUGCUCCGGAAUGAAGCCACAUGGUGUGACCGAAGAGCAAAUAAAUCUUAGAGCUUUUUCCUUUUCUUUGAAGGAUAAAGCAAAAGAUUGGCUCUAUUAUCUACCCUCUGGUUCAAUAACAACAUGGAAUGAGAUGAAAAUAUUGUUCUUAGAUAAGUUCUUCCCUGCAACAAGAGCUGCCAACGUCAGAAAAGAAAUUUGUGGCAUAACACAGUUCACUGGAAAAACAUUGUAUGAGUAUUAGGAAAGGUUCAAGCAAUUGUGUGCUAGCUGCCCCCAUCAUCAAAUUUCUCAGCAACUUUUAAUCCAAUACUUCUAUGAAGGAUUGUUGCCCAUGGAGAGGAGUAUGAUUGACGCAGCAAGUAGUGGAGCUUUGGUAGACAAGACGCCUGAAGAAGCCAAGCAAUUAAUUUCAAACAUGGCCGAAAAUUCUCAGCAAUUUGGUACAAGGGCUGAUGGAGCUACAAGGCGAGUUAAUGAGGUAAGCACUAAAAAUUUUGAAAAUCAAAUUUCUGAUUUAACUACUUUGGUUCGUCAAAUGGUUGUAGGGCAAUUGCAAAUGGCAAAAGCUUGUGGAAUAUGCUCAGUUCAAGGACAUCACAUCAAUAUAUGCCCAACAUUGCAACAAGACUCUAUACAAGAAGCUAAUGCUCUAGGUAGAUUUACUGGUCAACCUCAAAGGAAGUAUGACCCUUUCUCCAAUUAUUAUAAUCUUGGAUGGAGAGAUCACCCAAAAUUGAGUUAUGAAAACUAAGGAGGACAACAAAAGUAUCCUUCCCANNNNNNNNNNNNNNNNNNNNNNNNNNNNNNNNNNNNNNNNNNNNNNNNNNNNNNNNNNNNNNNNNNNNNNNNNNNNNNNNNNNNNNNNNNNNNNNNNNNNNNNNNNNNNNNNNNNNNNNNNNNNNNNNNNNNNNNNNNNNNNNNNNNNNNNNNNNNNNNNNNNNNNNNNNNNNNNNNNNNNNNNNNNNNNNNNNNNNNNNNNNNNNNNNNNNNNNNNNNNNNNNNNNNNNNNNNNNNNNNNNNNNNNNNNNNNNNNNNNNNNNNNNNNNNNNNNNNNNNNNNNNNNNNNNNNNNNNNNNNNNNNNNNNNNNNNNNNNNNNNNNNNNNNNNNNNNNNNNNNNNNNNNNNNNNNNNNNNNNNNNNNNNNNNNNNNNNNNNNNNNNNNNNNNNNNNNNNNNNNNNNNNNNNNNNNNNNNNNNNNNNNNNNNNNNNNNNNNNNNNNNNNNNNNNNNNNNNNNNNNNNNNNNNNNNNNNNNNNNNNNNNNNNNNNNNNNNNNNNNNNNNNNNNNNNNNNNNNNNNNNNNNNNNNNNNNNNNNNNNNNNNNNNNNNNNNNNNNNNNNNNNNNNNNNNNNNNNNNNNNNNNNNNNNNNNNNNNNNNNNNNNNNNNNNNNNNNNNNNNNNNNNNNNNNNNNNNNNNNNNNNNNNNNNNNNNNNNNNNNNNNNNNNNNNNNNNNNNNNNNNNNNNNNNNNNNNNNNNNNNNNNNNNNNNNNNNNNNNNNNNNNNNNNNNNNNNNNNNNNNNNNNNNNUUGCAAAGACUGGUGUAAUGAUUCAAUUAGCCGAUCACUCUUAUAUUCAUCCCCUUGGAGUUGUUGAAGAUGUUUUGGUGCAGGUUAAUGAGCUCAUAUUUCCUAUCGAAUCUUACAUUUUGGAAGUGGAUGGUAAUUCCUCAUUAACAUCAGCUUUGAUUUUAUUAGGACGACCAUUCAUGAAAACUGCUAACAUAAAGAUUAAUGUAGAUGAGGGUACUCUCUCCGUAGAGUUUGAUAGAUAGAUUAUUAAAUUUAAUAUUUUCAAUGUAAUAAAAUAUGCUAAUAAUUUACAUUCUCUUUGCCAUAUUGAUGUAAUUAAUCCAAUUGUGCAAGAAGUAUUUGCAAAAGAAAAUGUUAGUGAUGAGCAAGAAUUAGAUGCACAAUCUAAUUUAGAAGUGGAAAUUAGAAGAUUGGAUUUGGAUAAAAUUUUCAAACUGAAUGGUCAUAGAUUGAAGAUCUUCCAUGAGGGUGAAAUUGCUUUAUGUCUCAUUAGUUUUCCUUCGAAUCACCCCACUUAUUUAGAUGACUCAAAUAUUUUAUCAUUUCGUCAAGCAUAACGACGUUAAACAAUUGCGCUAUUGGGAGGCAACCCAAACACUUACUUUAUUUUUUUUUAUUUUUUUUCUUUCACUUAGUUUAUUUUAUUUUUAGUUUUUAGUUUUUAAUUUUUUUAAUAAAGAAAUUCAAAUUUUUUUCUGACAGGAGACUAAUUUCUACCAGGCGUGACCACGCCUUGUUCCCAAACAUCUUCUGUUCUGUAACAAAAAAAAAAAUCCUACUGUUACUCUUACAGAAGCUCGCUUCUUAUAAGGCGUGACCACGCCUUGUUUCAAAAUACCUUCUGUUUUGUUUUGAAAAACUGCACCUCAAGAUUACAGAAGCUCGUCUCUUAUAAGGCGUGACAACGCCUUGUUUCAAUACGCCUUUUGUUUUGACUUCUUUUUUUUUUUACAGAAGCUCGUUUCUUAUAAGGCGUGACCACGCCUUAUUUUAGCUUUGUUUUGACUUCUUUACUUUAUUUUACAGAAGCUCGUUUCUUAUAAGGCGUGACCACGCCUUAUCUCAAACCACUCUUUUUUUUAUUAUUAUUUAUUAUUUAUUUUAUUUUAUUAUUUUUUUUAUUAUUAUUAUUUUAUUUUUUUAAUUUUCCUAAUUUUUUAUUUUUUAUUAUUUUAAUUUUUUUAUUAUUAUUAUUUAUUUUUGUGCUUAAAAAAAAAGAGAGAGAGAAAAGAAACGAGAACGUUUUAUUUUGCAUAGCCACUAACGUUUUAUUUUCUUUGGCAGCAAUCAUCACCAAAACUUCCUAUUUUCACUGGGCGGUUCUACCUCCUUUCCCACCAUCACCAUUGACUAUUCAGUCCGAGUUGCUUUGCAAAUCAGAGGAGUUUCAUAAUUCUUUUUAUUUUUUUUUUCUGAGCCAUUUUCUUUUUGAUACAUUGAGGACAAUGUAUAGUUUAGGUGUAGGGAAGGAAUAUGAUAAUUACAUGAUUUCCUUUUCUUUUUGAAAAUAUUUUUUUAUGCUUUUAAUUAGGUAUGCUUUAAUUCAUACGUGCUACUUUUUCUUUUGCAACCUUGAGUUUUAUUUUGAUAACCUGGAAUACCAUGUAAAUUAGAAAUACAUUUUUGGUUUGAAUUUCAAUGCAUGAAAUGGGAUAAGCAUGAUUAGUGUAUCUUUAAAACUAUCCGAAGGUAUCUCAUUAGUUUAUUGAUUGAAAAAUGUACAAGAAUUGAUACAAAUGUAAAUAUUCAAGUGAGCUUUGAUCCUUAGAGCAGUGCAUUAUAUUUUGCUCUGAUUAUUUUUUAUGAGUGUUAUCAAACUAGUAUGAUUAUUCUAGAACUUGCUUUUGAAUUCAUGUUGAGACUAUAUUUUUGGAUUGAUGCUUUAAUAUGAUAAGGGAAAUUAGGAUUAAUCUAUUCUUAGACUCUUAAAGACUUACCCUAUUGAUUUUUCUUUUAGUCAGCCACUUUGAGCUUAUUUUCUUCUUUUUUUUCUUGUUUUUAACACAUGUUAUUUAACCCAAGACCUUUCAUUUGUUACCUCUAUUUUUCUAACCUUGUCAAGAUAAGAAGGGAAGUGUUGCAUGGUAUAAAUGAAACAGAAAAAAAAAAAGAGAAAAAGAAAGAAACAGAGAAAAAAAAAAGGAAGAAGAAGAGGAAAAGAAAGUUAAUAUCUAUUCCUUUCAUGAAGAGGAGAAUUGAAGAAGUAUUCAUCAAAUAUACUGAAUUAAAUUGUUACUCCUCACAAGUUCUCAUAUAAAAUAUGGGAAUAAAUAUCAACUUUCGAAAUUUUUGUAGUAUGUUUUAUGGAUGUCGCAUAAGUUAUCAUGCAAGAAUCUAAUUUUUUUUUGUCUUAAUUAUGAAACAUUUCAGCUCUUCCUUUAUCACACCAUUUCCUAAGCCCCAUUACAACCCUUGUAAAGUCCCUUUGAUUUUUGCAUCUAAUUCAUGUGUAGUGGUGAAGACUUGAUUCAUUAGCAAGCUUAUGGUAAUAACAUGCUAUGUUUUGAUUCUGAGAGUAAAUGCACCCUAAACACUUUGAGAGUAUUAAGUGAAACCAUGUGAGGGUGUUAAAUCUCGUUGCUUUGAUUUUGAUGAAUUAUUGAGAUACCUGUUCUUUUUAUAAAAUUUAUCCUAUGAGUGCUAAUCUCUUGAUUGUCAUUAUUAUUUAGCUCAUUAAUGUAUGUUUAAUUUGUUUGGUAUUUGAGGAGAUUAAAAGAGAUGAAAAGGAAGGUUAAAAGGAGAAUUUGUAUGUUGAAUUGAGGUAUGCUUGAGGACAAGCAUAAAUUAGGUGUGGAGAAAUUUGAUAGGUCACAAACAGUUAUAUUUAUUAUGUUUAAUUCCCUUACGAUUUGGUUCAAUAAUGUACUUAAUUAUGAAAAUUCUGUUUAUUCUGAAUUAGGUGAUGAAAUAUCAAGGAUGGAGCAAAAUACAGCCUAAAGGCAUGUUUAAGUCAUUAUUUAUCAAAAACCAAGUCUUUUAGAGGAGAGGCUGAAAUCUGCAAAAAAGAUCACUGUCAACAAGGCGUGACCACGCCUUACAGCCCAUGAGCUCCGCAAAAAUCNNNNNNNNNNNNNNNNNNNNNNNNNNNNNNNNNNNNNNNNNNNNNNNNNNNNNNNNNNNNNNNNNNNNNNNNNNNNNNNNNNNNNNNNNNNNNNNNNNNNNNNNNNNNNNNNNNNNNNNNNNNNNNNNNNNNNNNNNCACCUUGCGUCCAUGAGCUGUUAAAAGAUGGGAAAGAGAGCUUCGAAAUUUUCAGAGAUUAAUUUGUAGUGGACCUAUACCUAAUUAAUUUCUUUUAUUUUUGAAAGUGUUGGAUCAAUAGAACUUUUUUCCACGUAUUUAGGGUUUUAAUUUAUUUAGAUCACUCUUAAGCUUAUCCUUCCGUAUAGGGAUAAAAUUAUAUAGGAAGCAUAUUUUUUUUUUAUAAGGAUUCUACUAUUAGGGUUUAGGGUUUACUUUCUAUAAAAGGAUGGCUAGAUACUUUGAGCAUAUAAUUCAUAUUCUUAUUCUUCUUCUACUCCCUACAAUUCUUGUAAAUUCUUACUCCACCAUGAGUGGCUAAGUUUUUAGUUUUUAAUUCAAGAGUGAAUAAAUUCCAAUUGUGAUUUUGUGAGGCUUUGUGCUUAACAGAUUUUUUUUUAAUUCAAGUAUUCUUUAUUUCUUGUUCGUAUUAUUUAUGAAUUAUUAAUAUUGAUUGAAUUGACGACUCAACUUUGAUAUUGAUCUUUCUAUUGCUAAACUUUAAGUUUGUGAUCCGUAAUUAUCAUGAACGAUUGAUACAAGUAGCAAGGAACUGGCUCAUGUGUGUAAUUAUGGCUUAUUCGAAUUACAUAGCUUGCAUGAUAGGCUCUAGGGAAAUAAAAGAACAAGAUUGUUUCAAUUUCAGUUAUCUCAAUUGAAUUAAUGUUGGUUUAGUCAUUCUCAUUAUUUUUAAUGCUAUCAUUAAGUUGAUAUGGAACGCUAUCGUGCCCAGUUGACUAAUGGUAAGUUUUGAUUUGGAUGUUGGGUUUGAGUCAAUUAUAUUAGGAGAAUUACACUUGUUGCAGCUUUUUCGAAUAAGUAGACUAAGUACUUGAAUAGAAGAAUUGAUAUUUUAGCUUAUGAUCAUGAUUACAAUUGGAUGAAAUUAGCACUCUUGAAUUAGAAAUUUGUUAAGAUUGAUUUUAUUUACUUUAAUAUUCAGCAUUUAUUAUUUUCUGCUUAUUUAUAAUUUUGAUUCAAACAUUCAAAAUCCUCCCUUUUUAUUUUACUUUGAGAAGCCAUCCAUAUUGGUUCCCUUGGGAUUCGACCUGGUUUCACUAUUUCUACAAGUUAGUUUAGGAAAAUCAGUAAUUUAUUUUGAAGGGCUUCGACAACCCAUUCAAAGUACAAGGCUCAUGCCAAUACCAUUGCUGAACUUUUAUGGAUUUAAUCUCUGUUGCGAGAAAUUGGUAUGCUUUCUUCUUCACUUGCUACCUUGUGGUGUGACAAUAUUGGAGCAAUUUACUUAUCCUCUAAUCCGGUUUUUCAUGCUCGUACUAAGCAUAUUGAGUUCGACUAUUAUUUUUUAAGGGAACAAAUGGCGUUAAGCAUCAUCCAAAUUGGUUUUCUUUCUUCCAAUGAUCAACUUGGUACACUGGGUGUUAGAUUGUUUCAGCAGCAUCGCUCUCAUCUUCGUCUUCAACCUCACCCACCAUUAGCUUGCCGACAAGUAUCAAGUAAACCCUAGCUUAACUGCCUGAAAACCUUCCCUUGUAUUUCAAAUUAUAGUUUGUAUAAGAUAUAUUAUUAGAUAUUCCAGCCAUAUAUCUUAUUUUCAAUAGUUGUUAUGUAAUCUAUAGAUAUAUCUAGAGCUGUACUCUUUAAAAUAUCAAUAUAUACAAAAUCAUCUACUUCUCUAAACUUAAUAACAAUGAGCCUUGGUCUUGUCCGCUAUUUAUCAAUCAUCCAUCCUCGAUCACCCUAUAUGCAAAAAUUACAUAAUUAAAUUUAUAAUUUCAACUUUUUUGACAAAUUACAGUUUUUUAGUUAAAUAUCUUAAAUCUAAAUAUUUUUAAAUUUAAAAUAUUUGUUUGAAAUUUCAUUUCAAACAUAAGAAUUAAUUGAAAAAAUACUAAAAAAAUAAAUUUUAUGUAACACUUACAUAAAAAUAUAAAUGGUUUUAAUUAUAAGACAGCUCCUAAAUGCCAUUGCGGAAUAUCUUUAUGCUAUUUUUUAAUUAAAAACAGAAAUUUUAAUACGCCAAUAAAUAAAAUUAUACUAAUUAUAUAAAAAUAAUUAAGUAUCUGAAUUUAUAUUAAAAUAAUUAAAAUUAUCUAUUAUAGCGCAAAAAUCUAGUGAAACAGAUAUUUUGGUUUUCUUGGUCUUCUAGUUCUCUAACUAUAGAGCUUUUAGUCUGUCCACACGGAGACAUAGAGGCAAUAUUGUAGAGAUUUGAUUUUCUUCUCAGUCAAACCCUUUUACCAAAACCAAUUUUUAGAUUUAUUUUUUCUUACAGCAAUCAAAAUCUCAACAAUGUUCUUUUUUAAAAGAGUAUAUUGCAUUGUCCACAUAAACAAUAACUAUUCUAUAUAUAUAUAUAUAAAUUAAAACUUCUUUUAACUUCUACUUUUUACCUCUUUUCAUAAAUGUAAAUUAAUUAUUUAAUUUAACCAUUUAACUAAAAUGUAAUUAAUUUCUGGCAUAAAUUACUAACACCUUCAAGAGAAGCUAGCAUAGUGCAAGAGAUUACAGAGGUAAGGUAGUAUUCUGCAUGGCUACAAAACUGUCCCUUGGAUACGGUGCUUAUAAUUGACUAGAACGGGAAAGCUUGCACACUUUGCAGGAUGCAGUUUUUGGCAAACUCUCAGCUCUUUUUAUCUCAUUUGCUGUUUUUUCCUUUUUUUUUUUUUUUGUUACACGAUGUAAUAAUUUUCACUAUAACCUCUCUCCCACUUACAAAGCGAAGCAUAUAGUUGCUCGGCCGGUUAAAUACUAUUAAUAAAAAUAGUAAUUCAUUGUUCUUAACAAUAGGGUCCGGAGACUUCUUGAUUCAUUAUACUAUUACUCUAGGAUUAUAUACAACCACAUUGAAAUAAAAUAAAUCAUUAUUUUACAUCGAACAUAAAUAUUGAAUCGCUAUUAUGAAUUACCAUCAAUCUACGUUAGAUAGUAUUCAACGCUAGUAUAGUGAUAGGUCACAAAUAGUUAUAUUUAUUGUGUUUAAUUUCCUUGCGAUUUGGUUGAAUAAUGUACUUAAUUAUGGAAAUUAUGUUUACUCUGAGUUAGGUGAUGAAAUAUCAAGGAUGGAGCAAAAUCCAGCCUAAAGACAUGUUUUAAGUCAUCAUUUAUCAGAAACCAAGUCUUUUGGAGGAAGUGCAGAAAUCUACACAGAAGAUCACUGUCGACAAGGCAUGACCACGCCUUACAGCCCAUAAGCUCCGCAGAAAUCUGUGCAGAAGACUACUGUCAACGAGGCGUGACCACGCCUUGCGCCCCAUGAGCUGCUAAAAGAUGCGAAGGAGAGCUUCGAAAUUUUUAGAGUUUUCAUUGUGGUGGACCUAUCCCUAGUUAAUCUCCUCUAUUUUUGGAAGUGUUGGAUUAAUAGAACUUUCUUCCAUAUAUUUAGGGUUUUAAUUUAUUUAGAUCACUUUUAAUCUUAUCCUUUCUUGUAGGGAUAAGAUUAAAUAGGAAGCUUAUUUCUUUCUGAUAAGGAUUCUAUUAGGGUUUAGGGUUUUACUUCUUAUAUAAGGACGGCUGGAAGUACCUAUAAACAUACAUAUUCUUAUUAUUCUUCUACUCUCUACAAUUCUUGUGAAUUCUUACUCUACCAUGAGUGGCUAAGUUUUUAAUUUCUAAUUUAAGAGUGAAUAAAUUCCAAUUGUGAUUUUGUGAGGCUUUAAGCUUAACAGAAUUCUUCUUUAAUUCAAGUAUUUUUUAUUUCUUGUUCUUAUUAUUUAUGAAUUAUUAAUAUUGAUUGAACUGACGACUCAACUUUGAUAUUGAUUUUUCUAUUGCUAAACUUUGAGUUUAUGAUCCGUAAUUGUCAUGAACGAUUGACAUAAGUAGCAAGGAGCUGGCUCAUGUGUGUGUGAUUACGGCUUAUUCGAAUUACAUAGCUUGCAUGAUAGGCUCUAGGGAAAUAAAGGAACAAGGUUAUUUCAAUUGCAGUUAUCUCAAUUAAAUUAAUGUUGGUUUAGUCAUUCUCAUUAUUCUUAAUGCUAUCAUUAAGUUGAUAUGGAACGCUAUCGUGUCCAGUUGACUAAUGAUAAGUCUUGAUUUGGAUGUUGGGUUUGAGUCAAUUGUAUUAGGAGAAUUACACUUAUUCCGGCUUUUUCGAAUAAGUAGACUAAGUACUUGAAUAGAAGAAUUGAUAUUUUACCUAUGAUCGUGAUUACAAUUGGAUGGAAUUAGCACUCUUGAAUUGAAAAUUUGUUAAGAUUGAUUUUUAUUUACUUUAAUAUUCAGCCUUCAUUAUUUUCUGCUUAUUUAUAAUUUUGAUUUAAACAUUCAAAAAUCUCCAUUUUAUUUUACUUUGAGAAGCUAUUUACAUUGGUUCUCUUGGGAUUCGAUCUGGUUUCACUUUUUCUACAAAUUAGCUUAAAAAAAUCAGUAAUUUAUUUUGAAGGACUUCAACAACCCGUUCACAUAGAUUUAUUUUUUAAAGUAAAGCGGUGUCAAACCAAAAUACUCAACAAGCAUUAUUUCUUUCUAAAAAUUGAAGUGAUCCAACCGCACCUUUCAGUGCGACUACUUUAUUACAACUUUACUUUAGUGAAUAAUCCUGUCUUCGGCAUUCCCCUCCUUGCUGCUAAGGUAACGAUUUCGGCAUCGCCAGCUCCCAUAGUGGUUAUAGGGCUUAAUUUAUAAGUAGUGCCUAGAUAUCUCUCCAUUCAAUAUAGCGACGGAAUACAAUACGUAAAUAAUCAUUGACAAUGCUUGUUCAUCGAAAUCUACGAUUUCUUAUUUAAAUAUAUACCAGACCCAUUUGCAUAAAUGUAAAACCAAUUCAAUAUCACGAAUGAACAUGGGUAAUUGGGGUAAUGAGGACAGUUGCCCCCACCGCUCUAUAUAUAUAUAUAUAUAUAUAUAUAUAUAUAUAUAUAGGUACAAGUUAUUUUUUUAUUUUGUCCCACUAAUUAUUUUUAAUAAUACUAAAUUUUUUAAUAGCAAGAUAGAUUCUUCUUGCUACGAAGAAUCUAUUGGUUGAUUGAUAAUUUGAAAUGCUCAUUUGCCUUAAAUAGGUGUUUUUUUUUAUAAAAAUAAAGUCAUGUUAGAGAUACACAUUAUUAAAAGAAAAAAAAAAGAUAAUAAAAAUUUGUAAAAAUAAAGGUCUAACUAAUCAAGUGAUUAAUUCUAAUCAUUUUAAUAUUAGUUGGAUUCAAAUUUAAAUUUAUUAAUUAGUUUCUACUCUAUAAUUUAUUUAACUCCUGUUAAUAGUUUUUCCAAUUUUAUCUAUUGUUAAUGCAUUUUAAAUAUAAAUUAUUUUAAUUUAUUAUGAAUGAAAUAUCUCCAAUAUUCUACAAUAUAGAAAAGUUUGCCACCUAAAAUCUUUUUUUGGCUCCAAUUGUUCCUAUAUACCAGAGGAAACAUACUUAUAAGAAAAUCCCUUUGCCGCAUCCCUGUCUGACUUGAUGACUAAUAAUUGUGACUGUCGCCAAGAUUAAAAAGUGGCAUGAUUAUGCUUAUCGAAUAUUAAUAACAUAGUCUUCCCAUAUUAUCUGCAUCAAAAUAAUGCUCAUUAAAAAUAUUGGUGGACCGACUUUUUCAUCCAAUUUAUCAUCUUUUGAGUUAUACAAUGAAAAAUAUAAACAAGAAUAAUUAGUUCUUGUUAACUAAUAACAUUUCUCAUCCUCUUUUCUACUUAUAAUCAUUGCAAAGAAUUUUUUAUUAGACUAAAAAGAGUAAAAGAAAAAUGAAUUACAAAAUAAUAAAAACUACAGAUGAAAAAUUAUAAUAGACCAUAAAGCACACGUGCUGAAUCCUCACCCACUUCGACACGUGUACUUCUCUACAUAUUUUCAAGACGUGGCACUUGCAUCCGCACCAGUCCCUUCGUUCCUUUCACCUACUUGUUUUUCGAUUUUUUCCUUAUUAUUUUUAUCAAAUUUAUUUUAAUUUGUGUAAAACUACAGUAAAGUUGGUAGAGAAAAAUGAAAGAGAAAGCUUUAAAAAUAUUUAUAUUAUUAUUGAGCAAUCAAUUAGUUGCUACAACACAAUAAUACAGGACGAGAGAUCAGUAUUUAUACUAAUAGUAUUAGGGGUAAAUUAGAUUUUGGAGGUACCAAAUUAUGCAUUUUAAAAAUAUAUUAAAUCUUUGAUAUAACUAAAUGAUCAAUGAUCUUCAAUUUUAAUAACAUUAAUUAGUUUUUUUAACAAAUGUGAAGAUUACAUCAACAGUCACCAAAUUUUACAUGUUAUAAUAAAAAAAUUAUUAAAAUUCCGAUUUUAGAAGAUAUAUGACCAGUAUUCUUUUUUGUAAUAAAUUAAAGAUUUAAUACAUUUUAAUUAUAAAAUGUUAAAUUUAGUAACUAUCUAUAUAAUUUACCAUUCAAACGUGUGCUGCUAAAAUUAAAAUUUAGCGACUAUUUAAUUAUAAAUCAAAUAUUUACUAUAUUUUUAUUACAAAGUGUAAAAUAUAAUAAGCGUGACUGAUAAUAUUACCCUAAAAUGUAUUUAUAUACUAAGUGAAGGAAACUGCAACUAAAAAUUGAUAAAAUUGCUUAGACAUCAGUUAUGGUGAAACAUCACAUUUAACAUCAUCCCUUUGCAAGGUUGGUUUCAGUAGAUUUCUUAAUUAAUCACAAUUUUUUCACAAACCAAGACUUUAUUAAAGCAGAAUUUGGGUAAGGUACCCAGUACAAAAACUGACCACCCAUAUCAACAAAAAAUGGAAAAUGAAACGCUACAAGAACAAAGAUAAUAUAAAACAUAAAACGCACGCGACAAAGUCACUCUCUUGUAACAGUUGCCUUUGCCAAGUUGUCUGCAAAUCCAUUAUUUUCAAUACUUAGUCUAAUAUGUUUAAUUUGGAAGCAUGCAUGUGAUUAUGCCGGGUACAAAUUUGCAGGCAAACGUGGCUUUGCGAGUGCAACUAAUGGUUUGGCAAGUGCCAAACUAUUCUUAGACUCUGAAAGAUCAAUGCUUGUCUCAUUAGGGGGCACGCUCCAGCUAAACCCUUGAAGAAGCCUAGCAAAUAACAUAGCAGUCACUGCAGUUCCCAAUAUGAUGCCUGGACAACCUCUUCGUCCUGUACUAAAUGAAAGCAAGUUCAAAUCAGGCUGCGUCAGCAUCACUUGACAUCCAUUUUUCUUGAAAUGACGCUCUGGUUUGAACAUGUGUGGUUCAUCCCAAAUCCGGGGAUUCCGGCCGAGGCCGACUCGGCUAAGCAAGACAUGGCUACCUUUUGGAAUAAAAUAGUCAGCAACAGUUGUAUCUGCUAUGGAGACAUGAGGAACAUUGAAGAAGACAAUAGGGUGGAGGCGAAACGCUUCUUUAGCACAUGCUUUUAUGUAAUUGAGCUGUGGGAAAUCUGACUCUUGGACUAGUCUCUCCCUUCCAACAACUCUAUCCAAUUCUUCUACUGCGUUCUCAAGAAGUUUCGGUUUGUUUAUCAUCUCUGCAAGUGCCCAUUCUAAAGCAUUUGAUGGAUUAUCCACUGCUGCCAGCAUUAUUUCCUACAAAUCAAUUAUUAAAAUGCAAGAUGCAAUAAAUUUGAAUCUUAACCAACAUAUUUAAUAUAUACCAAACUGAAAAUGACGAAAUGAACUUCUUGCAAGAAAAGAACAAGCAAAUGGAAUUUUCCAUAAUUCCAUUUCAUCAAUCAGGCAGAAAAAUGUUAUAUUUGGGAUGUGUUGUAUACGUUGGACAACUUUCAUCGGAGAGAAGAAGUAAAUAAAUAUAAUAAAAACGAUACAAGUAAAAAAAUUUAUUAAAGAUUGAGAUAUAUCACGGAUAUAUAUUUCUAUAAUUAAAAUAUACAAGACACUUUAUCUCUUAACAAAAGAUAGCUUUCUACCCCUACUAAUAUUGUAAGUUAUUUAUAAUACUUAUAUGAUUUUUUAUUUAUAACUUUAAUUAUUGAUAUUCAUGACAUUUAAUAAUCUAAUCUUUCAUAUAGUUAGAGCUCUUUAACAACUAAUCAUUCUUAAAACAAUAAUAUCAAAUAUUGAAGUUUACAUUUUCAAUAGUAUGCAUGUGCGAUAGAGUGAGAGAGACAGAGCUUACAGUAAUCUGAGCUUUAAUCUCUUCUGUUGACAGCAAAGAGUUGCCAUUGGCAUCUUCUAAAUUUAUGAAAACGUCAAGCAAGUCGUCCACUUCCUUCUUAGUGCCAUCCCUCCAUUGUUUGACCCUCGCUUCAAUUAUGGGAUCUUGAUAUUUUUUUAUGAUUCCAAUAGCAUCCUUCAUGAUCUUCUCAUGACCAUCCAAGUCAAGCCCUAUCAAGCAUGGCAUAUAAUCAGACACACAAAAUGCAUAGGUAUGAGCAAGGGCUGUUAAAAUCGCAUCAACAUGCUCUUUUUCCUCGACACCAGGCCCUCCGUCCUUCAUUCCCUCCCCGAAGAACCUUUUGUUAAACACCAUCUUCCUUAUUACAUUUCCACAAUAGUGCCGUCCUGUGAUUCUCACGUCAACUGAUCCACCUUCCUCGGCAGUCUUGCAUUGGUUAUACACAUAACGAACAAGGUGAUCAGCUUCUUCAAGUCUUUUUCCGUAAAACCACUUGCAUUUUUCGGCAGAAAGAAAUUGCGUUACCAGCACUCUCCUCAUUUUCUUCCAUUGUUCUCCUAAGGGCACAAGACCUGUUGUCAAAUAACCUCUUGCAGUGAGAUCGGUGGACAUGGUUAACGGCCUGCUUGCAAAGACAGCAUCCUGUACUUUCAAGAAUUCACGGCUAAUCUCAGGAGAAGUGACAGGAAUCACAUGAACGUUUCCAAGACGGAUACAAGCAAUUUCAGUGUUCAUUUCUUCCAUGAGCUUGUGUAUCCAUCGAAUGGUCGGCUUAUUUGCCAGCAUCGUUGGCAGGCAUCCGACAAGAGGCCAAGGUUUUGGGCCAGGAGGUAGUGGGAGUUGCUUGGCGUUUUGGCUUUCUAGCUUUUGGAAUUUGGUCAAGUAAAUUAAGGCCAACGCCAAGAGAAGAACUAGGGAACAGGAGUUCA